rnacentral:lncRNA from 1 species
AUAUAUGUAUACUUAAAUAUAUGCCUUGUUAUCAAUUCAGAAAUACAUUUUAUAACAAGUUAAUUAUAUUAUAGAGAAAAAUAAAUAAAUAAAUAAAAACAUUAAAGAAAAGAAAAAGAAACAAAUGAUGCUCUAAUAGAAAGUAAUUUUAGAUUUCUCAACAAACGAGUUACUUCAGCCAACUUUAAUGAGAAUUUGUUUCUGAUAUUUUAAUUCUAUAACUACGUACCAGAUCUUCUCGUUGUCUUCAUAAUAAAUAAUAAAAUUAAUGUCGCUACUUUUAACAAACUUGAUUUAUAAUCGCAACAUCAUAGAUCCAAGUACGAACGAGAUGGGUGAUGUGCACCUGAAUAAGGCCCGACACGAUUGGACAGGUUUCGGCUUUGGGAGCCCGAAAGCAUUAUUUGCGCUUGGGUUAGGACUUUGGAUUGGGCCUAAUAAAAUGUAAAUACUUUUUGGGUUUACUUGAAUUUGGCCCUAAGCCGGAUUUCCGUCUUCUUCUAGUUAAUUAUACAUUUGAAAUCUAUGCCCAGAUUUCAAUUGGCUUUGACGUAUAAUUUUUAUUCUUUUCUUAAUAAACUAUUUUUAGAACAAACCUCGUAAUUUAUUUUAGUUUCCAAAUAUCUAUUAAUUAAUUUCUCGUAUCGUGUUAAUAUCUAGUGGAAUACGAACCAAAAGUGGGCCAAAAAAUGGUCUUAUUAAUUGGGCCUUGUGAAUCGGACUGGGCCUGAUUUUCCUGAAAAAUUUUCUCGGCCGAAGCCCGUAGUUAAAUGCAAGAGACAGAAAAAUUUGAGGGUUGAUUUGCAAUUUGGAUCCUCCCAGGAUAGAUCUCAACUGGGACAAAUUUUGACCACUUAAUUGCAAAGGACCUGCAAAAUUUUCCAUUUUUAUUUUCUUUUCGGGCACAAAAUGAAUUAGAAUUUGGAAAGUGUGUAUUGAAAAAGAAAAGGUUUGGUUUUUGUAUGACAAUGGUAGAUGAGCUAGCACAAAAUUGUAUACAUGUAGCUGUAGAAGCAUUAACUAAAGCUUACACUUAAGCUUUGAUAUUAGACAUUUUCGGAGACUUUAGUAGUGGAUUAGGCCAUUGGUCACCAUCAUCAGUGCUUAAUUAAUGGAAAUAAAACCUUCUAGUGUUAAAAAGUGUAGCUUAUGGUGCAUUAUUUUCCUUCUACAACUUACUUUAAACAAAUGAAAGUAAAGGAAAGGAGUCCACAAGCAUGCUUUAUAAAAAUUAAAGCAAAUAAGAUAUGCAAGGGAUUAAGGUCGAAAUUAAAGGGCUCUUGUUACUUUUCUUAGAAGAGAUUAUAUUGCCUUUCUUGUUUCUCCAAAACAAAUAAAACCAUUUGUUCCUAUCUUAAUGAGUGGAUUUAGGCCCCAAAAGUCUCUUUCGUUUUUGCUCCAUGGAUAUUAUUGUAUUGCUCAAAUGACUCAUUUUAAUCUAAUAUUUAAAACCUAUGGACCCUGUUUAGAUGUUGGAAUAAAUUAUCCUUAAAGAACUUAUUUAAUUGGUAUAAAAAUUUUAUGUUGUGAUUGAAGAUUUUUUAAUUUUAGCUCCUUCAAAAGUAUCGUCAUCUAUGAUUUUGUAAAGUAACAUAUUUCACCUAUAAAAUAAUUUAUCUUAUUAUGAAAAAUUAACUAGAAAGUAAAAUAUAUUAUUUCAUUCUCAAUGUUUAAUUACAUUACUCAUCCAUCAAAUACUAUAUAACCUUUUGACUAGUAAAUCAAAGCUAUAUCCGAAAUAAGAUAUUUAUGCAUUCAAAUUAGGGCUUACUGAAGUACCGUGCUGAAAAUUUAGUUCGGUAAACAAUGAAGUAAUUUUAGUGCUACUUCCACUCUUCCAUUUUUCGCCAUUAAAAGUAGAUAUUAUUGUAAAUUUUAUGACACUUCAUGCAUGUGACUACUAGAAAUAUGUUAAAUUGGCUUCAACUUUUGAUUAAGUGUACCUACCAUCGUAUCUAGGCAUCUAGCGCAAUUGACUAAGAAUUUGAUAAUCAAUAUAUAUUUGCACUCUCAAAUUUGAAGCUUAGUUGCUUCAUAUUUUUUACUAAAUUUAUUCGUAAAAAUUGAAUGAAAUGGAUAGCAUUCUACCUCACUCUCUCUAAAAAAAAGAUUUUAUUUUUUCUAGUUGAGUAUGGUUUAAGUGAAACUGCUCGAAAGCCUUUAGCAUUUUUUGAUUUAAAUCCUAUACAUUUUCUUAUGAAAGUUAGAUAUAGAAGCUAUUGGAGUAUGAAAAUUUUAUUUUUGCUUAUUUAUUAGGAGUUUUUUUUAUUGUUAAGCAUGUAGCUUUUGCUUUUUCGUAGAUAUUGUUCCACAAACUAAAAAUAGAUUAGACAAGUAAUUCUUUAGUUACAGACCGUCCUAGCGUAAGUGGCAAAGGGCUUGAUGAUUGGUACCCGAGGUUUUAAGUUCAAAUCCUUAUUGAUUCACAUUUCCAACUAAGUUUAUUUCUAAAUGAAAUAAAACGAAACGGGUAGCUACCUAUCUCUCUCAAAAAAAAGAAGAAAUAAUUCUUUAGUUAAAGAUGUUAAUCAUGUGUCCUUGAGAGAUUUUUUUUUUUUUUUUUUUUUUUGAGAGAUAGGUAGCACGCUACCCGCUUCGUUUAUUUCAUUUAGAAAUAAACUUAGCUAGAAAUGUGAAUCAAUUAGGAUUCGAACUUGGAUCUCGGGUACCAACCACCAAGCCCUUUGCCACUUGCUCUGAGGACGUUUGGUAGAGGGAUCUUGAGGGUUUGAACCAUCUUUUUCCUAGUACAAAGUUAUUGAUGCAAUUAGGUUUUCGGCUUUAAGAGAUAUGCGAUGAUAGUAGUCUCCUAGGAUAUUUGAAGUUUUUAAAAAUAAAAUUUUAUAUUUUUUUGACAUAGUUUACUUUAUAAUCAAAUUGUUUCACAAUUGUCAAAUUUUAAUAACUAUUAUGAAAAGUUUGUAGUUUAACUGUGUAGAAAAAUCUAAAUUUAUUUAAAUUUUGAUAGAAAAUACUUUAAACUAUCUAGACCAAGGUCAACAUCAUUGAUCUUGAAUUCAAAAGUCCUAUAUUCAAAUUUUAAAAAUUGCUCAAUUUUUACUGUUCAUUUUAACAUGAUUUAACUUACUAAGUAAAUGAUAUCAUAAAAAACGAAAAUUUUAUUCCUAAGAAUUUCAUGGACCCCUAGAUCAUAUUUAACGAUUUGGUAUAGUUGAUUAAAUACUCUAAAUCGAAAACGAAAUUAUAGUAUCGAGCUUCAGUACUAUCAAUAGAAGUAGCUGAAGUCAUAAUAAUAUAUAUAUCCUAUAUAUAUAUAUAUAUAUAUAUAUAUAUAUAUAUAUAUCCGAACCUGAAACCCGACCAAAAAUUCGAAAACUGAACCUGAAAAUCCGACUCGAAAUAAUAUUUCUCUUUUUAAUAUUUCAAAAUAUAUUACAUUAAAUCUAAAUUUUUAAAAUACAAAUUCAAAUAUAGCAUAAAAUUUUUAUAUAGAUAUUAUAUAUAAUGUAAAAUAAAUUCGGGUUUAGCCGAUUCGGGUUCGGAUAAGAUACUGUCCAUAUCCAUAUUCGUCGGGUUUUAUUUUUGAUAGCUAUAUUCAAAACCAUAUGCAUUUAGUAUCGGAUAAAUCCGCUCAAUUCGGUUUCGGAUUCGAAUUCGGAUAAAAUUUUCGAUAUCUGUACCCAUUUACAUGGGCACAAUGGGCCAGCUAAAUAAAGGAGAAAGUAAAUUCAACUUUACCUUGUUAAAAAAAUAAAAAAAAAAAAGCAUGGUCCACGAAAAAAUGGAACACAAAAGGGAUCUACUUGGACCCAUCAAGCUCCACUCCUGACUCCACAACCAUCAAAAGCAGGAAAAGACAUUGAUAAAGUUACUAUCGUGCAUGUCCUGUGUGUUCUCACAUGUGUUAUGUGUACAGAGUUGUUACAUGAAAAAAGAAAAAAGAAAAAAGAAAAAAGUACGUGUAUAUAUAUAUUCGUAUACAGUUUGUAUAAUACUACGUGGAUAGGUACGUACGUACUGAAGAGAUUGCUUCGACCCGAGGGUAAAGAAGGGGAAUUGCUUUAUUGGCAUACGUGUAAGUAAAGCAGAUCCGUUAAAUACAUUAUAUCUAAUAAUAUUUUUUUCUUCGGGCUCUGGUAACAGUACAAGAGCUGUUUUGUGCGAGCAUUUUGGUUUCAUUGUUCUUUUCGAUGUACGUAAGUGUCUAAUUAAGAAGUUAGAUUACUGUAAAAUGAGAUGAAUCAAUGUUUUUGUGAGGGUGUAUAUGUUUCUUGUCCUGAUAAUUAGAAACAAUUAAUUUAGUAAUUAAUCAAAUUGUUAUCGUGUUUAAUUUUUCAAUUUGUAUUAUAUACUGCAACAGAGAUUUGCGUGUGAUCUACGAUAGUGAUUGACAGUGGUAAUACUAUUUGUACACUUAUAUAUAGAUGUAAAUUUUAUACUCUUUUUAUUCAAAAAUUUAUAGACAAUCAAAAUAGAUUUUAGCAAGAUAAAAAAUGUUGAUAAGAUUAAAAAGAAAAGACCAGCCGUUGGAAUAUAAAUUUUAUAUUUAGUUUAGAAAUGUACAAAUAGCAUUGCUGUAGUGGUUAUAGUGGGGUUAAUGAUAGAAUUGUGUAAUUGGUGGUGCCUAAUUGCAAUGAUGGUUAGCAAGAGAGUUACUUUAAAUUAGUUCCCUCACACAAGCAAAAAAAAAAAAAAAAGAAAAGAAAAGAAAGCAAGAUUUCUCCUUAUACAUAAUUUUUAUUCAAUUUCAUAAACGUGAUUUGCAUAACCAAAAAAAAAAAGAAAUUCCUUGAGAAUACAUGAAAUUAUAUUACGAAAAAUAAAUAAAAAAAAUCUUUUAAAAAAGGGUGAUAUUGUGGAACUCUCCAAACAAGAAUAUAUCCGGAAUAUUCGGAGAUCCUUUGAGAUCAAAGACACAGGAAUAUGAACAAUUAAAUAUAAAAGGAUAAAGAUGCCUACUAUUUAGAAAAAGAAACAGUAAAUUAUGCAUAAGGGAAUAAAAUUUAUUGAAGCAUACAUUAACUCAAAUCUAAUCGUCUAAGUCGUGAUCUAUCAUACCAAACACGGUACGAUACAUCAUUAAAACCUCAGACCCCUGCAGGCAAGUAAAAAAAAAAAAAAAAAAUCACAAUUAAUUUCUCUUAUAACACGUGCGUGCAAACACAUAUAUUAGACGUAGAUAUGCGUAGAGAUCACUCCAACACCAUUAUAUAUAUAUAUAUAUAUAUAUAUAUAUAUANNNNNAUAUAUAUAUAUAUAUAUAUAUAUAUAUAUAUAUAUAGAUAGAUAUAGAUAUAUAGCUUCAAAAGCUAUAUACGUGCGUGCGUACUACUCAGUUUACAAGUUUCACAUGUAGAAAUUAUUUCCUACGCUCGGCCGGUGCAUACAUGCAUGUUGUGCACCGCUCUAUACACCGUCCUCUAGUGCAUCACAUAUUUUUAAUCUAAAAAAUCUGUGAUUUUUGAUAAAUUAGAAUUGUGACGAUGCAAUAGAGGACAGAUAGAGUGUAGUGCACAAAAUGUAGUUGUAGGUAUAAACCAUCGAACAGCAGCUCAUAUAUACGAGUCUGCGUCGUUGGGUAGUUUUCUACUGAAGUUUGUUCUGAGGGUAGUCAGGCCCAAACUGCUCAUCUGUUGGCGGUUACCACCUAUAGUACUCUGGCGUGGCCGCGGCACUGCGCUGCAUCCGAAGCUGCUCGUAGAACCUUCUGAUGAACUCCUCCGCCGCGACGUCCACCCGUUCCCCGCUGUCACCGUCCUCCUCCUCCGUGACGGGGAACGGCGAGUCCGUUAUCCUCAGCUGCCGCACCGGCCCCGCCGCCACCAGCGCCGGGCUCUUCCAGAAGGCCCCGCCGCUCCACGUCAGCGCCGGCGACGGCGUCGCCGCCAUCCAAUCGGCGCCGGCCACGUCGUCCUCGCCGAGCAUCUCGAACGCCUUGGCGAUCGCCGCGGCGUCGUAGGCGCGGAGGUCGUCGUCGCCGCGGCGGUUGCGGCGGUUACGGCGGUUGCGGUUGGUGGCGACGCGGAAGAAGAAGAAGGAGGAGGAGGAGGAGGAGGAGGAGGAGGGGGUGUUGGUGCAGCUGAAUUCGACGUCGCGGGUGCGGUCGACGGAGGCGCAGGAGAAUGAGGCUGCGGCGGCGGCGGCGGAGGAGGAGGAGGCGGCGCCGCCGUGAUGGUGGUGGUGGAAGGUCAUGGUGGCCAUGAGGUUGGCGAGGGCUUUUCCGGCGAGCUUGCCGCGCUUGAGGAGGAGGUGCAGGUCCAGCAUCACCUUCCGCUUGGAGACGAGGCCCUUGCGCAGCAUGUAGUACACCACGCGUACCACGUGGCGCACCCGCUCCACCAAGGACUCCAUAUGCAUGUGAUUGUAGAUAGAUUCUGGGAGUGGGUUUACCAGUUUAGCGAAAGAUUUGUUUGUUGUUGUGUUUAGAUCGGGGAGUGGGGAGGAGAGGUGGGAGGUGUUUUGUUUUGUUUUUUCUUUUUUGGUUUGUUGUUUCUGUGAGAUUGGUGGUGCGAACGAGGGAAGGGGGAGAGCAGGGGGAGUAUUUGUAGGGGCCAAGUAAAAGGAUAGUAAGUAGCUAAACAAAAUAAUAAUAAUAAUAAAAUAUAAAAAAUAAAAGAAAUUGGGACAUUACGGGGAAGUGAGUCGAGAGUCUCGAGACUCAUUUUUCGCUGGAGAGAUAAAGAGAGAGGCAUCUGGGACAAUUUCACGCAUGCAUCGUUGCUUAGUCACUAAGGUCCUUUUUUUUUCUGAUCUGCUGUACUUAAUUCACACGUGCUUCAAUAUAUUCAUCGCCAAAGUAAUGCUAUACAUGCAUUCUCAAAAGAUUGUAUGAUGUACAUUCUAUUUAUUCAAAAAUAAAAAUUUUAUUAUUAAUUCUGCUGAUAUAAUUAGUGAAGUAUAUUUUUUAUUUUUAGAUGGAUGAAGUGUAUAUUUUAUAUGUUUUUUGGGAGCCUACGACAAAAGUAAUACUACACAUACAAUAAACUGCGUUCCUUCUCCCUAUUUAAUAUGCUGCAGUGUGCAUCAGAUUCUAGCAAACAAACUUUAAAACUUAGACAAAAUCUAAUUACUAGUGUAAAGCUUACCCCCACCGAUCUUCUAAUUAAUACGGGCCGCGAUAGUUAAAAUUAUACAAUUAAUUUACAUAAUUUAUUUAUCUUUAUUUUUUUAUUAUUUUUUUCUUUUCUCUUGCGGACUUUUUUAAUGAUUAUUUCAGUAGUUAUGCUGUUUAAUUAGUUGGCUUUAUAUAUCUAGAAUAGAUUUUCUACCCUAAAUUCAAUAAUAGCCAAGCUCUUAAUAAAUAAAAAGUUUAUACGUGAACUUAAUUUAGAUUCCUAAAAUAAGUGCUCUUAUAAAUUUUUUAAAAAUAAAAUUAUAAAAUACAAAUCUAUUUAUAAAAAGACAAAAUUAUAAUUAUAUAAUAAUAAAUUCUCCAAUUAGUUAACCAACUAAAAACUAAAAUACAAAAUAAGAAACAAGCUAUACGUUUUGCAACAUAUAUAGGCCAUGCAUGAAAGCGUACAAAGUCCACAACAACUUUUUUCCCUCGUUAUAUGUACGCUUAGUUCAUUUUGCUUAAUGAAUGAAGCAGGUAGUUUGCUACCUAUUUCUCAAAAAAAAAAAAAAAAAAACUUUUUUCCCUCGUUAGCUAGCUUGACACACAUAGUUUAGUUUAAGGUGGGAUGAAACUUUAAUUAACUUCAAAUUGACAACCAACAAAGCUUUGUUACUUAAGGUGCAAGCGAAGAGCUUUGCAUAUGCUUUGGUUUUGUUUUUAUUUGUAUUUUUCCCUUCUACCUAGUGCUUUUGCACAAAGUUGGUAGGCUCGAAGCUCAAGGGAACUUUUUCAAAAUGCUUACUUGCAUUGUGGGUUUUGGUUUGGCUUAAUUUCCAACCCAGUUGAACGUAUAGAAGAAACGUAUGUCCUGUAAUUCUUAAGUUGAUUACGAGAACAUUGAUUGCAACAAUUAAUAGAUAAAUCCCAAGUUUACCAAGAUUCCCCACUUUAAGUUUUGGCUCAAGUUUUUCACAAGUAUUGGAUAGUUUAAGUUUUACUACAAACAAAUCUAAAUAUAAAGACACUUUGCGACGCUCCGGGGAAGCGUCUCUGCAAUAUAGCAAAUACCAACACUUAAAAAAAUGUCGUUAUAUGAAUCCUCUAUCGGACUUAAAUUAAAUGGAAGAAAAUCAAUUAUACUAGGAGCCUGGUGUGACUCGAAUUUAGGACCUUAUGAUUUGACACCGUGUUAAAUAAUACGAAACAACAGUUGGCUCUAAAAUCUUAAAUUGAUAGAGAACGGUAUUUAAAUAUUUUCAUAUUUAACACAAAUGUGACGCUAGACUAUAUGAGACGCUUUUAAACAUUGUUAAAUAUAAAAAAAGUCCUUAAAUGCUACCCCUUUUUUUUAUAGUGUUUUGAAACUAUUUGGCCUUGACUUAAUUUGUUAAGUUUUUAUAUUCAGUAACAACAACAUUUGACAAACAAAAAAUGGACAGCUUCCACUUUUAUCGAUCGAUCGAGUUGUUGAAAUUAGAUUUCUAAACUUCAAUAUGUUAUAAUAUUUCUUCUAAUGUAUAGCAGUACAAUAUAACGAAGCUAAUUAAUUAAGUAGGCCCUAUAUCAUAUAUUUAUCUUUCUUUUUCCUUGAAUUAAAAUAUAUAGAGUGGCAUGAUUAUUCAUGUAGGGGACCCGGCCCUAUAUCAUAUAUUUAUCUUUCAUUUUCCUUGAAUUAAAAUAGAGUGCCAUGAUUAUUCAUGUAGGGCUAUGUAUCUCACUAAUUAAGAACCAAAUUUCUUAUUCUAAUUUGCAAGCAACUCCUCCAAUAUUUAUAUGGUGCUAGAUUUUUCCACCAUUAAUUAUGAAUGUGUAUGAUGCUUCGAGAAGAGCAAUAAUUGUUGCUUAACCAAGUGUAUCAAUCUCUGUUGACAAUAACAUUUAAAGCCAUUAAUCUUAUUUAAAUUCGCUCGAGCUUGAUGAAUCAUUCAUCACAUAUGUUAUAUACUUAAAAGGCUUAUUAAUUUGCAACCCUAGUUGUUGAACUUUCGUACAACAAUCUACAUGACAAGUUAUGGUUGACUAUGCAAAUACGUACUACAGUUUUUUUUUUUUUUUGGUUCUUGCAUAAUUAAUUUCAAAAUUCAACUAUCUAUGUCACAGUGAAUUGAAUAAUUUCCAACUAAUUAAAGAUAGCAAAUGGAUUGGCAACACAUAAAGUUGUAGCUAUUUCCUAUAGCCAGAGUAAUAGCGAAUCCAAUCGCGCCAUUAAUAUUACACAAUUUUUAUAUAUUAACAUGUAUACAAAACUAUUAUAUUUUUUUUCCUAAAAGUACAAGACACUAGCUAGACAAAGAUGUUUCAGUAUUAAAAUAUCGGCUUUUAGUGGCUGGUUUAUGUUUUUAGAAAAAAAAAAUCAUUUUAUUCGAGUUCAGAGCAAGAGGAAGAUACGUUGAACAUGCUAAAGUCUUUUCAUGCUCUAGAUCUUAAUUAUAUCAUUAAUUAUCAUCUAUUUAAUUUAAAUUCACAUAUUUAGCCUACUAAAAAGUCUGCACAAGAGAGAGAAAGGAUUCUUGAAUAGCUUAAGCUUUCGAUUUGAUUUGAGCCAAUCAAUGAUAUGUACAUAUCCGUAACAAAUCAAUGUUUUUUCAAUUAAGGUCAAGUAUUUUGAGUUCUAGCUUUGGAAUUUGAGUGGUUUAAUGGUGGUUAAUUAGGCAAGUGGGUUGGUGGAUCCAACAUGCAUGUUUUCCUCUCCUGGUUGUAGAAAGGAGCACUUAAAACGCAAAAGGUAAACCCUUUAGCUAAAGCCCAAGUUUAUGCACUUUAUUGUGCACCUGGUUUGUGUCCACACCCCCACCAAUACAGUGGGUCUUUAAUUACGGCUACUUAAUCAAUAAUUGUUGAUACGUAUGGAAUUGGUAAGCAUAUAAAAAUAAGUCAUUUGCCUUAUGUACGUAUAUAUAUAGUUGCAAUCCUCAUGACCCACGUGGAUUUUAACGUUGUAUGUUGUCUAGUGUUAAUGGGGAACAUGAAAAAAAGCAAAAGAAAAAAAAAAAUGUUUUAAUGGAAAAGCGUAAAAGAGCACCCACAUAGUGAUUAGGUGUUUGUAUGCUUUGACGAAUGAUUUCAGAAUCUUAAGUAAUCUCUUAUUAGAUAGCACUUUAGGUAUCUAGUUCAACUAAUUUUCAUCCAAGGAGAACUUAGUGGAGGCUUUUAUGUUUUGUUAUUGGUAAGACUUACAAGUAUUAAUUACCUGAAUCAUAAAUCAUUUUGAGUUGACUAUCUAAUCUUUCAGUUUAUUUAAUUUGAGUCAGUCAGCGAUAACGUUGACUUUAAAAUUUGAAUGUAUUAUUUAUCUUUGUAAAUUUAAUCAGUGUACAAUUCUCAUAAUUAUAAAUUUAUUAAAAUGAGCAAUUAACUUAAAUCUUGAAGUUAAAAUAUCGUUGACUAACUCAAAUCAAAAUAAACCGAAAAGUUGGAUAGUAAAAUCAAAAAAAUGAAGGAUCAGGUAGUCAACUCAAAAUGAUCUAUAGCUCAGAUAAAUUAUAUACAUUUUUCUUUUGUUAUUUCUUAGGUAAUAUGGUAUUUGAGCAAAAAAUCCUAAUUAGUUUCAUUGCCGUGAAAUUCGUGUAACAUUUGAUCAUGAAAACCAUCACUAUUUAAUUAAUUCAAGUCUUUAUAUAUCUCCUGGUUCAACCAAAAAGUCUCGAGUUCAAACAUCAGAUAUUAAUUUUUAAAAUUAAGUUGGAAGAUUUAAGAGAAUUAUAUGCAUUUAAUUUGUGCCCGUCAAGGCUUUAAUAUUUUCCAACAAUUUCAGAAGCCACCGUGAUCCUUCUACAAUUAGCUUUGUUAAGUGAUCAUUAUUAAGCCUAAUUAGGAAAAUAUUCUUUUAUUUUUUUUUCUCCUCCAUCAUGCACCACGUGCAGCUUAAUUAUAUACACAGCAUGCAGAUCUAAAAGUCAUGAGAUAUAUGUAUAGUAGCAGGAAUCUACCUUACAGCUCUAAGCUUGUCAACUUUAAAGAGCUAAAUAAAGCUGAGCAAAUUAAAGCACACUGAUCUAUUGUUCUUUUUCCUAAAGAGAGUAAAGUGAAAGCAAACUGAUCAUAUAAUUUUACCAAAGAAUUAUUUUCAAUUCACAAGUAAAAAAGAGUUCUUCGCAAGAUAUAACAAUUUUGUUAUGUGAUUACCAAAAAGUAUUGUAUUGAGUAAUCUUAACAUUUAUUUUCUUCAGUUGAAGCAAAAGUUCCACCAAGUUCAUAUCUGAAUCUAUUGGUUUGAGUUAGUGUCAAUCCAUUUUGGUCAACAAUUGGUAUAUAUGAUUCGUGAUCUCAAUAUAUUCCAACACAAAAUAUAUUCUUUGAAUGGAUAUAGACCACCAAAUUAAACUUCGGUAAAAUAGUAAAUGUUGUAUGGAGAAAAUAUAUAGCAGAUAUUUGAUAACAAAAUUGUUCAGUUUAGUUUAGUUUUCUGGCCAUGCAAGUUUAGUUUCAACUUAAAUUUAAAAAAAAAAAGAAACAAAAACCAAAUUGUGAUUAGUUUGAUUUGGACUAAUUGUAAGAACCAAAUCCAACUGAUCCUAUAUAUAUUGCACACCCAAGAAAGACGUACUUCGAUUGCUACGGCACACGUAAACACAUCAAGAUGCACAAUAGGAUACAAUAUGCGCACUAUUUUUAUUUGUUUUGCAAUGUUAAAAUGCUAGGCAAAAGCUCUCUCUUUUUUUCUCCCUCUUUUCUUACUUAAUUUAUACCUAAGCAACAUAAAUUAGUUAGCUAAGUAAUUUCUCUACAGUCAACAUAUGUAGUUCUAUUUGGUUUCCCUAUGUACCUCUCUCUAAUUAAUGUUUACAGUAAAUGAGACAGCCAAAUAAUUAAGCUCUCUCUCUAAAAUAAUCGAUUCAAACUAUUUCUUGUAAACUUUAACAAUCAAUACAAAGUUUGUAACCUCCAAAAUUAGAAGCUUUAAUCCAUUUUCUUCUACACAAACCUGAGGGAGUCGAACCCUUCCAUCUCUUUAGAUGAUCAUCCGAUCGAGUAACAACUACUAGACUAAACAGCGAUUGUUAUGUAUUUUUUUACCACAUUACUACUACUCAUGAAAACCCUAGUGUUGUGCUUUUAGACAUUUGCUUGUUUAAUUAAGCCGAAGAGAUUUGAGAUCCAUAAGUGACAUGGCAUUAAGAGAUAAACACAUACAAAAACCCCAAAAAAAAAAGAAAAAAAAAGAGGAAAAGGAAUGUGAAAUGAAAGAGUGGGCCUAAUAAUAAUUAGAUAGGUAAGUGUAGGUGGGUCAAGGCAUAAUUAUGAGGAGAUCUAAUCAUUGAGGGUAUGCUUCAUGGAAGCACCAAUUUGCCCACCACUCUUAAUUUACUGGUUCAAAUAAUUGUAGAUAUUUUAUAUUAUGUGUCUUUUUUAGGGCCAUAGUAAAACAUAUAUACGUGGCUACAUAUUUGACAUUUAUCAUAAAUUUUUGGCCAUCAAGCUAAACAUAAUUUAUUGUAUGUCACGUAGGUCAUGACACAUUAAUUGCUCUGCAUGGACCCAUCAGAUUCACGAUUUUUAAUAUUUCCCUCAUCCUCCAUGUGUUUUAUAAAAUUAUUUAAAUUAGUACUAUUUAAUUCUAGUUGAAUAAUUGUAAAAAUAGUGAAACUAGUAGGAAUAUUAGAUUACGAAAGAUUAGAAGGUACUCUUAGUUCAAUACUUGAUGGAAAUUAACCAUUAAUGGUUUAUCAAUAAGAAUAUAUAAGUUUAAAUAUAUAAGUUAAUAUAUUUGUCAUUUUAAAUAUAAAAAUAUAUAAUAUUUUUGAAAUAUUGCAAAAACCUUGAACCAAACGGCCCCUUAAGAAAAUCAAGAUUAUCUAAAGCCGUUACUUUUUGGCCUACCUAACAUAUAUGCAUAUAUGAUUGUUAUCUGAUAAAUUAAAACUCCAUCAUAAAUGGGCCUUACAUCCUAAAUGGGCUGGGCCGUUCUCGGAUCGUGAACAAUCACAUCGUACAUCACCAGAGGCCCAUAAAAGGUGGGACACAAACACGCAAAAUGGGCUGGGCCUAAUUAGGCAAUUUAGCCCACAGAAUAAUUAUACCCUCUCAAUAAAAACUUACAUCAAUUUUCAAAUAUGUCUCAAAAUUGGAGACGAUUAUUAGAAUUCAGAUGAUUUUUUUUUAAAAAAAAAUGAGUAUAUCUAUGUCAUUGGGCUCUAUAUAUCUAACAAUCUAUUUACAUAGCAACUUAGAAAAUAAACAAAAAUUUAGAUAAAAAAAAUCUUCCUUUUUAUUGGAUAAUUUGUUCCUCCAUAUAUCUUCAAAUAUUUCUUUUACAAUAUUUUUCACUAUAGUAUAACAAUAUUUAGAUAAAUUUUAAAACAAUCAAAAUUUAAGUAGCAAACUAGUAAGUAAGCAUAAAGCUUCUAGGGGCACAAAUUACAAUGCAAAGUUUAGAUUGGCAAUUAAGUAAUUCUAAUAAUUACAGGGAUACAUGUGCAAAUGUCACAAAGCUAUAAAUUGAGUAACUCCCACACUUUCCCCUAGAUCUCUCCCCAUCUCGCUGUUUCUCGUUCGCGCGCUCCCUCUCGCUUCGGAGCGUCUCCUCCUUCGUUCAUCGGGCCCCCAAUCGAGUCCUCAUCGUCACUAAUCGCUUCGUUCUAAGGUUCGAUCGAAGCUCGAGCUCUUCGGAAUCUUACUGAUUAGGUUGUGAUCAUGGUGUUGAUCUUUAAGCUUCUCUCUCAUUUGUUCUUGUUUUGUUGUUAGUUUUAUAUUCCGAGAUCUUGUUCAUCGUCCAUUUUUGAAUGAGUUUCGAUCUUAUUCGAUGCGCACAAUUUGGAUUUGGCCGAAGAUUUUUGUUGUAAAUUGCAUAAUUUGAUACUUUGUUGUGCUAAAUUAGAGCAAAAGCAUUUUGUAUAUUCUGUGUCUUUACUAAUAAUGGAGAUCGUAUUGUUUGGAUUGGAUGGAAUACUCUUGUGGUUUUGAAACCCUUUAACUAGUAUUUCUUGCAGAAAUGUAGUGUUAUUCUUAAAGGGGAAUUAGAAAUCUCAAAGAUUCAAGGUUCGAUUAGGAGAGAUAUUUUUGUUAGGGUUUUGGUUGGCUCUUCGUUAUUCUUUAUAACGAAUAUAAAUGUAUUUGAAGAGAUAAUUGGCCAAAAUAUAUUACUACAUUCAAAUGGCGAAGAAACCCUCAACAGAUUUCAGUUUAACUACAGUCAUUGCACAAAUCGACAUGCUUGUACUCAGUUUUUAUGAUUAUUGAUGUCAACUGGGUCUGGCUACGCGAUCAGAUUCAUUUGCAUAGUCACAUCCUUCUUCUGGAUCAAAGUUCUGAAAAAAUAAUCUGUUGAAAAUAAGUAUCUUGUAAUGUGAAGAUCAAUUAUCAAUGUGAAUUUGGCACCGGUUUCUUGGAUUGGAAAGUAGUCCGGUGAAUAAAUUUCUGGCUAAUUCAGUAGAAAGUUAGCUCUGUACUAUGCGCUUAUACAAUUUGCAGAUGGGGUUACGGUAUAGAAAUGAACUGACAAACUGACCUUAAUUAUCGUUCAGUGGUUUGGGAAGCUGCCAUAGAACUUCAUGAUGUCUUGCCAUUUAUUAGGCCGGAAUCAGAGGAGGGGUGAAGGGCCUAAGAUCAAGAACAUACUUGAGGGUGCCUUUCUUUUAUUCCUUAUUUGGUUGGCGUACAAGAUUGGGCAAGCUUACGAUAAGAGGCAUGAAUCCCUGUUUAAGUUUCGUGAGGAAGAUCGUACAGCAUACUUAGCUCGCUUAAGGAAGAUGGGGUACGAUAGUGAUGCCUACAUAUACCCAGAAGAAGUUGAUGCUUCUGGUCAGCUGUACAAAGAAAACAAUGGAGGAAGUAUUUCUACUGAAGGAAGUAUGUACUCUCAGAAAGAAGACAAUGCAGAAAUUCGUAAUAAUUCUUUAGAGCAAAUUGGAAACACAAAUGUAGAACAGGGAUUGUCUGAAGAAAUUGGACUUCGGAAGGAAGAUGACGUUGCCGGAAACUUUACUAUUGAUACUAGAAAUAAUGAUGAGACAGGAGAUGACAUGAGCAAUUCAGAUACAUUGGAUAACAGCGAAUAUGUUCUUAAUAGAGAGGGAGCAAAUUCUCGAGAAAGCAUGAGUGAGUCUCCUUCUGAAGAAGAUAAUGCACUAUCACUCAAGCAGGAAACAGUUGAAUACCAAUCAGACAAUAUCUUGGGGGGUCAUACAAGUGAUAGUGAUACAUCAGAAGAAGCAAACUCUGAUAAAGCAUUUGGUGGCGAGCAUACUGAAUCAUCACUUGGUUAUGACCAACAUAAUGAAGGGAUAAGAACGAACAGUGAGGCUUUGGAUCCAGAUGGUGAGGCAGGUGAAUACCAAGGAGUUGUUGAAAAUGGAAAACAUGGCAUCGAUUCUUCAGAGGAAGGAGUAAAGGAUUUGGAUGGCGGAGCUGCAAAUUCCUCUCAAAAUAACGAACAACUUGGUAUGGAGAUUGAAAAUAAUAUGUUGACUGAUCGCUAGGCAGGUGAAUAUGAACGUUAUGUGCUUCUGUUGCUAAGAGUAUGAGUCUUAGAGACCUUUAAAAGAUGAAAAUCUGAAGCCUAGAUGUUGAAGCCAAUGUCUAUCCAUUAGAAAGACAUAUAAAGUAACAGAAUGCAUAGAAUGUUCAGCUCUUAGAUGAUUACUUCAAAGGACAACGAGCUCGGAUACGUCAAAAUGUUAGACUUUGUGAAGUAGACUGGAAGUGAGGAAGAGAGGGUGAAGUCAGUUGUAUAAACUGGGUGGUCUGCUUAUUCUAACCAUACAGGUCCUCGAAAAACUUGCCUUACUCUCUCUCCUUCUCUUCCACAUUCUUAUACCAUGUUAAGCACAAUCUGUAGGAUACCUACGUAAUGAAUAUAUGCAUGCACAUCUUGCUUAUUAUUCAUCCCGUUUUGUGAGCUCACAAGAUUAUGCUGUUGAUGUUGUUACUCAAGUUCCUAGGUUGCACAAAAGAUAUUGUGGAUCAAGGGCACUAGAGUUGUGUUCACUGCGAUGUAUGUUCUGUUGACAACAGUUAGAGUGUUAGUAUACAUUAUGUGUGUCUAUUUAUCCGUCUCGAUGUCCUCUCUAUAGCUAGCCAUAUGAGAGAGGAAAAGCUACCGUUGAUAGUAGAUAUUUGCGAAAUGCACUAUUUACUGCACUACUUUUGUUGCUCGGGAGUCAUCUUACUGCUGUUUAGUCCUUGGGAAUGUAAAGAACUGUAUCAAGUUCUUCUAUUGAUGAGGCAGGUGUGUAGGAACAGGGCCUCAAGAACAACUAGCUAAUUAUAUUCUCUGAAGAUAACAUUGGAUCACAACACCUCACAUCAAGACCUAAAAUCUUGUCAAAUUGGCCCCUUCAGUGAAUAUAUACUAUGUCUGGAUAGGGGAGAAUGCGAAAGAGAAGAAAAGAAAGCGAGGAGAGAAUCAUUUUUCUCUCGAUUGGAUAGAAAUUUUAGGAAAGUAAGAAGGAGGAGAUGGGAGAAAGGGAGAGAAUAUGUUUGUUUUGAAAGCUUAUUUUAUUUAAUCUGUGAAAGUGGAGAGAAAGGUAGAAAAAGGUAUUUAUCAUUAUCACAAACCCAUUUUCCUUUCGUUUCUCUUCUAUAAUGCCAAACAAUAGAUAGGAAGUAAAGGAAAAUAUAUCUUUUUUUCCUCUCUCUCAAAAAAAAGAGAUAUUUUCCUUUACUUCCUAUUCUUUCCUCUACUCCCUCCCUCUCUCUCUAUCUAUAUAUCUUUUUUUCUUCUCGCAUUCUCUCAUUCAAUAAUAAGCUUCACCCUGUUCGAGUCGGAUAACUAAUUAAUGUAGAAAUUAUCAUCAAGAGAAAAGGGUUGUGUAAUUGCACAACUUUAUGCUUCAUGUUUGGCAAUGAAUGAUAGACAAAGAACAGCCUCAGCCGAUCCUGUGUCUCGUUCUGAUGCGGGAAAUUUUGACCAUUUAAGUUCCAUCCAAUGUCAUGGGUGCAUAUUCAGUCAGAGACAAAUACUUGACCCAUGCAUCCUUUUUGUACUUGGCACAUGCAUUUGACUACACGGUUUGUUCCAUUAAGAUGUUCUUACUUACAACUUACAAGAUUGAGCUUUUCAAAAAUAAGAUUCUGGUCAGCCACACAGCGCGCGCGAGAGUCGUCGUUACGUGCGGCUAUCGUCGCCGUGCGUCGACCGACGGUGCAGCGAUAGGCGGCGGCGUGCGUGCUUUUGGCUCUUCACUCCAUAAUUAAAGAGAUCACGAGGAAGGGUUGUUGCUGCAUAACACUUUAUAGAGGUAGCUUUAGAAGGAGAAAGGUGGUAUUGUAAUCAGUAGGGGGCACUGUGAGGAUACGAGGAUGGUCCCUCCCCUAUAUUGGAUUCCAUCGAUCCCACACGGGGGCCCUGUGCUUCUUGGCCUAUCCAUUACACAAUCCCACUAUUUAUAUAUGUUAGUGUAUUCAUUAAUGGUGUACAUGUCCCUUUUGUUUUAAUUAUAUCUUAGAUCAUCUUACUUACAAGUUUCUCUUUACUAGCUAGUAUUGUUGCCAUGCAUUAAUGGUUAAAAUAAAAUAUCGUAAGUAGACCAACCGAUAUGGUCAAAGUAAUUAAACUAAAUACUUAUUGUAGGUAAUCACGUUCUGAUCAAUGAGAACUUAUUAAUUGCCUGGACUCUGUCACCGCAUCACUUUUGGACUUUAUUUGAUCUGCGCAUCUCUCGUAAUUUUAAUCUCGACCACUCUUCGAAGAAAAUAAUUAAUUUGCAUUAUUAUUGGAUAUGGUGGUGAAGCACUAGGUCCUCAAAUAUAUAGUAGAUUGGAUAAAUGACAGAUUCAUUGGGUGGUUCACAAUGAAUUGGUGGACCAGGUCCUCCCCGCAAUGAAGGAGUAAUAUCUCGUAAUAAAUACAUGCAUGCUUGGCAUAGCCUUUUUAUUUUUCUUUAUAUUGUUGUUUUUUCUUUUUCUUUUUUUUUUUCAAAUCUGGGCAUUUUGGUUUCAGAGUUUGUAGAAUUAUAUUUUUCAUCACUUUGAUUUAUCAAUUUAUGCAGAUCAACAUAAAAGACUUAUUUUUCUUGCAUUAAAAUUCAUAGAUGAAGUCGGCCGUCCUAUAGCUACGGUAGAUGGUGAAGUGCUAAUGAUGGUUGAUAUUCGUUUUGUUUAAGUUCAAAGUCUAAUUAUUUUAUAUUUUCAACUAAAUUUAUUUUUUUUAAAAAAAUAAACGAAGUUCGUUUUGUUUAAGUUCAAAGUCUAAUUAUUUUAUAUUUUCAACUAAAUUUAUUUUUUUAAAAAAAUAAAUGAAGUGAAUAGCCUAGAGGUAAUUAAGGCACCAUUAAUGCUAUACAUCAGCCAGAACAAAUAAAUAUUUUAAUAAUAAUAACUCACAGACUGUGCCUAGCUAGCACAGAUGGCCAAGGAUUUAAUGGCUGGCAUUUGAGAUUCUAAAUUUGAAAAUUAGUUGUUUCAAACAAAGUUCAUUUCUAAAAAAUACACGAAGAAGAUAACGUCUUAUCUUCCUCUCUCUCUCUCUAAAAAAAUAAUAAAUAAAUAAAUAAAAAGACAAUGAAAACCCAACCCCCCAAAAAAAAGGCAAUGCCAAAGCAUGCACCGAGUCAUGAUUUUAAAUCGUACUAGGGUUGAUUAUUUUUCUUUUCUUUUCUUUUUUUUUUUUUUUUUAAAAAGACAUUAACUUAUAAGAUUGCUCGUGCUACUAGGCGCAACCCAACUUGGCAGGGAAGAGGACCACCUUCACCAGUAGCAGUGGUCCUCUUAACUCACAUUUCUCGCUGCCUUAGGCGCAAAACUUUAUGGGACACUGCACUUUUGUGCCUAUGAAAUGGAGAAAAUGAUAGAUGAUGCAUGAUAAUCUCCCAAGGGCAUGCAUGCAAGUGGUUAAUUAAUUUACUACUCCUUUAUUCCUAGAUUGCAAAAGGACUAAAUUCUCUCAUUCAUUGGAGCUUGAUACCUAGUGGAUCAGUGUAAAGGUUCGAAUGGUUAAUGCUGUUGCACUCAAAAGAUCCAUCUAAAUAGGAAACAGUUGAGGAAUACAUGCAUGCAUGCAUGCAACGGUAGAGAUAAGGCGUAGCUUACUACGUACAUGGCCUCAGAGGAGAGGCAUUGAACAUGCAUGUAUCAAAUAACGAUUUAGUUAACUCGUCGAAGGGGAUGUGCUGUGACAGGAAAGGCCUACUUGGGGCUUGUAUAUAUGCCCAUGCUGAAUACAGUGUUGUUUUAUAAAGUGUUAUAGGAUAAGAAUGAUACGUAUAUGUAAUUCCUCCUAACAGCUUAGCCUUUUAAUUACUGCAAAAUUAGAAGUCAUACCUUAGAGCUUGUAUAUUUGAGCCUUGAAAAUAUAUCUCUUGUUUCCGAACGCUCUAUUACUAUUUUGUAGAGAAUGCGCGCGGCUAACUGAUCGAGAGCAAAUUAAGUUCUAAAACAAAUGCCUCAACUAAAAAGAAAAAGAUAGUAAGGCUUUCCGUAUGAAAAUUUUUUAUUGUGAUUGUUAAAAUGGAGUUUGUUUCUUUUGGUCCUUGAAAGGUUUUGAUAUCUAUAAUUUAAUAGGAUCACAUAAUUCAUCUACCAGAUAAGUUAUCUUAUUCUAAAACAAUAAGUUGAAGACGGAAUAUAAUGUCUAAUUUGCAAAUAUUUGAUCAUACUUUUUAUCGAUCAAAUUAAUGUUUAGACCUAGUCAGUGCAGAUCGUUCCUCUCGAUAGAUAUACUCACUAAAUAUUUAUUUAAGUUCUCAGAGGCUAAAGUUCAGUGUAUAACACAUAAUCUCGAAAGCAUAUACAUCCGUGCAUGAACCUUUACCACUUGAAGGCUAUAUUUAGGGUUUUGGGAUGAGACAGUUAAGAGGUAUCCUUUUGGUGUGCUUGUAACCCCUGUUUGCUGCAAUUGCAUGCAGCAAAUUGCACCUUUGAUGGAACAGCACAAAGUUGCUCUAACUAAUUAAUAGAUAUCUAACCGAAAAUAUCACAUCCUAUGUCACUUCAUAAUAGGAUAUUUUCAUAGUUGAGAAGCUCCAUCUUUAUUGCACUAUUUUUUUUUUUUUCUGAAAAAUCUCAUCCAACCAUCUCUUUAGUUAGGUCCUUGAACUUUUUGGCCCCACCCCUUUUACUGGUUUUUCAGCAUCUAUAAAAGGGAUGGAUGUUCCCAUUCUGGGAGAAAAUAAGACAUACAGUAGAUAUAGAAACUGUUCUUGAGAGGAAGUGUAGGCAUGCCAGAGGAGAACAUGCAAAAACAAAUGAGCAAAGAAUACAAAUCAUUCCUUCUUCCACCCAAGGUAUCUUAUAGCUUUAAUUAACCUAUCUUUUGCUUCUACUUUUAGCUAGAGUCGUAUGCAACAUAGCAUUUGACAAACAAAAUACUUCUGAGCUCCUAUUGCAGCCGGAAGCUGAAACGAGAUUGAAAGCUCCGAAAAUAUAUAGAAGUUUCAAUUUGAAGCUUUUGGUUAUAUUGGAGAACUCUGUUAAUUAGGAGGUUUUAAUAUAGCGCUUCUUACACUACUCGAUCAACUAUUAUUUUAUUGAAUAGCAUUACAGUACCCUAUAGCGUGACCAAAUAGGCCUUCAGAAUUUUCGAAUUUGAUUUAGAAGUUCUCAUUUGCUUAAAUUUGUUGAUGUUAGUAGACUCUUGAUCAUCUUUUACUUGGCUUUUGAUUCAAACCGAUCACAGAAGAAUGACCAUGGGCUUCGGCGCACCUACUCCGAAAUUCUGGUUCCAGCUGCAGAGGCAAGCAAGAUCAUUGAAGAGCUAAACCAGAACACGAAAUCUAGCGAAGUAGAGAUAGUGGAGUGCGAGUGCUGCGGCAUGUCGGAGGAUUGCACUCCUACUUACAUCGGAAAGAUCAAAGAGUUCUUCUGCGGGAAGUGGGUCUGCGGCAUUUGCUCGGAAGCAGUGAAAGAGAGGAUGAGACGCGAGCCGUCGAUAGACAUAACCGAAGCAUUGGACUCCCACAUGGCUUUGUGCAAGAACUUCAACAGGACCGUUAGGAUAAACCCUAAUCUCUCCUUAGCAACUACAAUGAGAGCCGUCGCGAAAAGGAUAUUGCAAGAGAGGUCCUCCAAGGACCUCAGUGCGAAUCCGAAGAUUGCGAGGACCGUGAGCUGCAGUCCGAGAUUAGAUUGCUGAGCGAGAAUUUUAUGGUUUUCUUUGUUAAUUAGUAGUAGUAUCAUAAAACCCUAGGUACGUACGUAGGCCCUCAUGUAUCGUAGUAGUUGGUACGUACAUGCAUGGGGAGUGCACGCGCGUAGUGGAAUGAAUAAAUGAUGAUGUACAUUACUUUACGUUCGUACAAUACGAGAAUAAUAUGUUUACUUACUUUGUUAUGGCUUACGUAUACAUGACCAAAAAUGUUUAUUACUCUAGUUAUUAUUGCCCCAUCAAAGUAGAGUUUACAAAAAAUUAUUUGAAUAUAGAAUAUAGCACAAAUCUUAAUUAUUUUCGAUUAAAAUAUAGUAAACUACUUUUUUUUAUUAUUAUUGUGGGGGGAGAGAGAGAAGGAUUUAGAUGUUAGUUUAUCCAUAGUCAAAAUCAGUAUACGCAUAUUUAUCUUAAGGUCCGUGAAAAAUGAUCAAGAUCGACUAUUUGGGUAUCUAGAAACUAAAAUCACUCCAUUAAAAAAAAAAAAAAAAGUAAAAUCACAAUUUUUGGGUUUACUUAUGUAAUGAUCAAAUAGUUUCCUAUUUAACAAUAUUAGUGGAGAUGUGUGAUAGAAACUACAUGCAAAUACUUGUCAUAUAACUCCAUCCUCAGAUUGCUGAUGCUUUAAGGAAAUUAAUUAUCUAAAUCAGUUGAAUAUAUAUUUGAUUUUUUUUCAAAUGUCUAGAUGAAGAAUAAUGAAUCUGAUUUUCAAUUGAGGAAUCGUUCAAUAUAUCAAAGAAGCAUUAUCGUGUAUAGUAUUGUAUUUGAUAGGAAAAAAUAAGCAUAAAAAUCCAUUCCGUUAAGAAUCAUAAAUUAAAAUGUUUUAGAAGCUGAAAAUUUUAAUUUUCUGAAGUUAUUUUUAAUUUUAACAUAAAUGAAAAAAAUAAUAAAGUGAAUAGUUUAAUUCUAAAAGCAAGGAAUUUGUUCAAUUAUGAUUUUUUUAAUUUUAGUCACCACACGUGAUUCAACCACCUCGCGUCCACAGUCCACUCGAACCAAUGUUUCUUUUACAAGGCACCACGAAAAAAGUUUAAAAGAGACAAAAGAAAGAGAGAGAGAGAGAGAGAGAGAGAGAAGCUCUCUAAUAAAGUAACNUUUUUUUUUUUUUUUUUUUUUUUUUUUUUUUUUUUUUUUUUUUUUUUUUUUUUUUUCCCUCCGAGGAUUAUGUGGGGACCCAAAACUAUCAAAUUAAAUCCGUGAAUGAAAUGUUAGUGUAAUUAUGUAUGUUGUGUGUCUUAAAUUCUCAUUUGCGGGAAAAUACUUAUCGCAGGCCCGGUGAAUCCGCAGUGCAUCUACGUAUUAUACAUUUUUGGUGAAAAUGCAAUUUGAAGUGUGUUUUGUUAUAUGAGAGAUCCAUGUGAUCGUCUUUUCUUACAUUGACAUGGUUAAGAGGCUUCACAUGCGCACAGGAUCGACAGGUUUAAAAUAGUGACUUGAUAUUCACAUUUAAUUUCAACCUCUUAGGACCGCAGAUAUUAUUUAUCGGAAUAAUAAUUGAGAUACAAAAAUUUCUACUAGGAGUUCUGAAUCCUAAGUCCAACAAAUUAAAUUUUAGUUUUUAAAUUAGGAAUAAAGCAUAAUUUACUCUUGGCCUUUUUUCUUCUAUCUUUUUAGCUUCGCUCAUUUUUUUAUAUAAAAAACCUUAAUUAAAAAUUUGAAACAACUACACCUUAAACUUGAAGUAUGCAAGCAUUCAAAACGCUAAGAAGCCAAAUUAAAGCAUCCUAUAAAUGUUUUCCAUGAGCUGAUAAAUACAAAAACCAUCCUCACAUUCCUGUCUUAAUUAUUCCUUUCAUCUUUACCUGCUGCAAUCUUAUAGUUGUGCACAAUACCGAUACCUCAGACUAGCCCUUUCACUAUGAAAUUGUUGCCAACUGAAACGGAACGGUGCCGGAGUAUACACUAACCAUAGGACCAACAAUUUCAAAGGCACUUGAAUUCAUCGCGUCGCUUCGAAUGUACGAAAGGGAUUCACACGGAGAACAGAGAACACUAAUCGUUUGAAAUUACAUCCCAAAUUACAAUGAAACCAAAAAUACUUUUUCAGGACAAACAGUUUUCACACAAACUGGGCACAGUAGGGCACCACGGUACACCGGUAUUGGGUAUAUAUAACUUAUGCACUGUAAAUGCAGAGCAAGCCAAAGCAAUGAGCAUUCUGUAGUCCGAACGAGGAGGCGGAAAGCUUUGCAGCAAGUGAGAGCAAAAAGCGGCAAUCGGUGAAAUAUAAGUUUGUCUUUUUACCGUUUUGAGUUGAGUUGUAAGCUAAAUAAAGGACCAGUUAACAAACAUGAAGCAGAUGCAAUGGGUAUCAUCUUCAUCAUUCAACACCUUCCACGCGACAGCUUUCUCGUAAGAGACAGGCCGACCCAUGCUUGAAACGCACAGACCGCCUUGGACGCAGGCAAAACCCUGCAAAUAGACAAUACUAGAAGUUAUUCCUCGAAAAUAGAAGCGCCAAUUCUGACUAUGGGAUUGGCCUUUCUUCUUGUUUUUUUUUUCUUUUUUUUCUUUUUUUCUGAAACACCCUGCAAGCAUAUAAACAAUCAAGCAUAUGAUGGAUUAAGCUACGUAGAUUAGUACUAAAAAGAAGAAUAUGUACAGAAAAUAAACAAGAUGAGGUAAAAAUAGCAAGUACAGUGCGCACAAUAAGUAUCUGAAUAUAGAAGAAAUAAAUUGGAGGACAAAGUUGGCCGGGUAGCUCUGCAGCUGUAAGUUUGCAUCUUACAAAAUCAAGGGUGAAAGCAUACGUCAGUCCAAGAAAAUUUUGUUUACUGUGUUCCCUCAUUUUCUAGCAUUUCUAAAUCCUCUUGCUUUAUUCUGAAAUUCUUGCCAAAAAAGGAGAAGAAAAACUUAGGAGAGACUAGACUGUAGUGUUUGCAACCCAAAGAUGGAUAUCAUAGUUCUGCUUCCUAAUAUGUUCAAUGCAUAAAAUCAUGGAUCUAAACAAGGACAAGGUUUUUAAAGCCAUCAAAAGGAACAAUACAAUGCUUCCUAUUUGGCGAUCCAGAUUCAAAUCAUGAAUAUGCAAAUCAAUAACCAUAUUUCGAUACUCAUGAAUAAAUACACUAUUUUUGACUAGAGAAACGAACCUUCUGAAUUAUCUGAGGGAAUUCAUUGCAGAGAGUCUUCUUUCCAUUGUCAUCAAAUAUCUGCUCUGGAGUUAUCUCUUGCAAGGCUACAGAUGUUGUCUCAAGCAUGUCAAGACCUGCCUGGUUCGCAAACAUGAAGAUGGGCGCAUCCUGCAAAAGACACAAAAAACUGUGAUGUAGAUUUCCAAACAGAGUAUCUUUGUUAGAUCACAGAAAAUUGAAGAGAAAGAAAAAUGCAAACCUUCACCGAGCAGCAAACAACAGCAUCUGAGUGGUGCCAAAGUGAUUUGAGAAGUGGUUCGUUGCCCUCAGUAGUAGGUUUAAGAAGUUCGACUCCAGAAUGACCCCUGUAUUAUAGUACACAUAUGUCCUUGAAUUUAUGGAAGAGAGCAGUUUGCAUUCAAUAUAUAUUAGGCAUGAUCAUUCUUUCAAAAAGCUAACCAAAAAGUACAAAUUUUAUCAGUAAAACCAAGACAUUAGAAGCUGAAUUACAUUAAAAUCCUCAACAGUCAUUUUGUAUAACUGGAAACUUCAUUAAUUUCAAAAAAGUUUUAAAAAAAUCAUGCAUGUGAGACAGCACUUAAUUAUUGUUAAAAUCUCAAAAUUUGCAAGCAGAUUAAGACCAAAUACAUGGCAAAGCCAUUUUUUCGAUAGAUGCCCUUGUCAGGGGCACCUAAACAAAUAUGCAAGGUUUUCAGGGACACGUACAAAAGUACCAAUUUUUGCAGGGAUAUCUUCACAAUAUACAUUUUUCCAGGGUAAUGUAUGCCAAACUCCAAGACUUACAAACUUACGCACAAAAAGAAUUUAAGUGCAGGUAACAGAUAUAUAUAGCUUUCAUGCUUGGAAUUCAACAUACUUAUGGAGACAGGAAGUUAGUGUUGUUUGGCCAUAUGACUCAUAACUCUUAGGUUUUGCUUUUUUCUUCAAAAUAUUCUGGCUGUUAGAAGACAUAUAAACUUCUAUUAUUAAAUUUUGAUAUGACAAUGCUAGAUGGCAAACCUAUAGCUUUCACAAAUCCAACGAGCAAGCAUCAGCACUUCCGGACUUCCUGGUGGUGCACACAGGCCACCAAGAGAAGCAAUACGUGAAGGUGAGAGAGCCAAUGCAACCCUUUGGACAGAGGAUAUAAUACUGCGCACAUAAUGUCGAGCCAUGGAUGCCACAUUCUCUUGUAGGUGGCUCUCAAAUGCAAAUUGAAAUGCAAUUGUCAUUACAGAUCUCGUGGCUGAAUAACGGCCAGAAGGAUCUCCACAAACUCUGGUUCCUGUUGGUCCAACUUCAAGAGUAGAGGCAAGAUCCAGUGUCCUAUUACUAGGACUGCAAGUGUCCUGCAUCGUAAAGGUAAAAACAAGUAAUUAAUAGAGAAAAACACUCACAACUAUAAAGUGAUGCAAUGAGAAUCUAGUCAACAAUGGAAACCCAUCCCCGUUGACGAAUAGGUGUUUACCAUUAUAGAGUCAAUAGGAAUAAUCCGGAAACCAGAAGGCAACAAUGGAGCAUCAUCAGCCAAAGAGGCAUCUAUUGGAGCAAAUAUAAGCUCAGACCAGGUGCCUACAGCAUUUUCGUCCAGUCCAGUACAAAGCUGAAAAAGCAAAAGAUACAAUGAGCAUCAUAAUUCAUAAGCAAAUACUCAACACUAUAGUAAUUCAUUACAAUAUAUUGCAAACAUUGAGCUAGAACAGAAAAGAUGCUUGACAAAUAUUUACUUUUUUUCUGGGAAACCCAUUCAUGAAUAUGAACAAUUCAGUUUUUCAAAAUUGGAUACUAAGUUGUAAGAAGUAACAAAUUAAAGAGGAAUGAAGCAAUGACAACAGAAUCUGCAUUAGCUUCUUUGGAGACCAUAAUGAAUAAUCAUUAUGUAUAUUUCUGCAGUGAUUCUAAGGCUUCGGUUAAAUCAUUAUUACAUCAUACUAGCAAGCAUGAAAAUGUUAGGUCUCACAAGAUUCUUUCUCUUUGCAAUUUUCCUUAAUCCUGUGGGAAGAUAACAUGCCACCCCAUUAGAUAGACAAGCAAAUUUGUGUGCAAAGCAAGGAGUAUUAGACAUACUUGCAAGAGAAGUAGCUCACGAGGCACAAGGGCAUCUCGAUAAUAGCCAAUAUUUUCCAAUUUAAGCACCUCUAGAAGCUGCUAAGAAAAGGAUGAUAAGCAGGUUCAAUAAGAAAGGAAAGUAAAAUGUCCUUUACCAACAAAUAACAGUAAGAAUCAUUCAACUGACUGAACUAUCCAAAAAACAUUACCUCUUCAUUAUCAAGUGAAUGAGCUAGUGGUAAUAUGACCUGACCACCAAAUGGUCCAAUAUGAGGCACUGAAAAAUUGCAUGAAUUGGCUCUUAGCGCUGCAGCAGAGAAUGCGUCCAUAUUACUGUCUCCCCAUUCUGACCGGUGCUCUCUUAGAAAUCUCAGGAGCAUUGCAGGAGACACAUUCUACAAAAAAUAAGUAAGAAAUAAUUAAUGCAUGUCUGAUAGGUGAAUUUGUAGCAGUCAUUAGAUAUUUUCAGUUAGAAGCUAAAUAGAGGAAGUAAUUCAUAAUAUUGAGAGAAAUUCAAAUCACACAAAUAAUUUAUUAAGAAGCACGCAAACAACUACAGCAACAAAAAAAAGCGGGGGGUCAAUCACAUUAUCUAAUGUUAGGAAGCCAACUUGCUCUUUUUAACGAACCAUAUCUUCUCACAGUACUAUCAUCCUCCUAUUUUAAAGGAAACAAAUGUAGUAAACAGUUCUCUGAGCGUUCAGUUAAUUUAAGUUGUAAGAGGCGCAAAAAUCCGCCGUAUGUUACAAGACAGUUUAUACUGCAGAAGAAUUCUAAGAAAAAUUCCAUUUCUAUAUAUCAUACCAAUAAAGCUUGACCAUCCAUCUUUAUAUACGAAGACAUGAUAGUCAUUGAAUUUCAAGCUAAUUUUAUUAUGUCCACAACCCACUAUUUCCCAACUGAGUUCAAGCUGUUAACAUGUAGGGAUUAUAAAGAUAAAGCAAAUACUCAAGUUUAAUACUUAACCUGUAAAAGCAUUGAUGCCUUGGCACACAGCACAGCAUUACACAUUGAAAAUUCGUUUGUGAAACCAUAGUUUUUGACAAGGAUGGUCACAUCAUCUGCGCCGUCAUUACUGGCAGCUGACCACCCCUCAUCGGCAAAGCCAUUAAUAGCUUCGCUGAAACCCCUGCAUUUAAAUUAUAUGAAAUCAUAAAACAAUGUCCCUAAAACAGAAGAACAAAGAUAACUACAAGAAUAAGCAGAUGUUCUCACCGGCCUAGUCUCUGGCUAAGUGCUCUUAGGGCUGCAGGUCGCCUACCCCACCCUGUAGCAAUAGAAUGCGAACCUUCAUGUGCAAUCUGCCUAAGAUGGCGUAAAGCCUGAAAGAAUGAAAUGAUAUGAGAAGACAAUUUGGUGUCCACCUAACGGAUCACUUGACUUCAAGUUCACCAUUUGACAGCUUAACAUCAAAAAGGAAUCAUCCAAUUCUAACAAGUUAUACUACCAUUGUAGAAUUAACUAGAAGAUAUGUUACUAACCGUCAUAGUCGUCCUUUGAGCAAGCAUAGUGGAUGAUUCGUACAGUGGUCGUAUAACUUCAGGGAUGCUCCAAGGCUAAUGCACGCAGAAAUAACUAAGCUUCAGCAAUCAAGUAUACUUAAAAAGUAUAUCGAAUCCAUCUUGAAACAAAGUAGAAACUUCCAAAAUGUUUAUACCUCCAAAUCCAUAUGAUAAACAAUGUGUAUAACAGAGCCACCAUCAUCACAGGGUCUUAUAAGGUAGCCGCUAGGAAGCAUUUCCGCCCUGACAAAAGGCUGCACAGAUGGCAUUGUUGGACCGCCUUGUGUGUUAUUAAGUGAUCUUUCACAGACCUGCGGAUAAAUAAAAGACGGACUUCAAAUUCUUAGGCACAGGUUAAGUUUGGAAAUAAUUUCUUUUUGUCACUGAGUUACUCCACUAUCCCAAGAUGACUGGGAACAAGUGAGUUUUAUCUUUGUUUUGACUUAGGAAGAUGAUUCUAUUGAUUGCAAAGAUAACUAUAUGAUGGUGCACAACUAUUAACUAUUAUAGGCAAUAGCUGAGCUGCAGAUAUUGGCCAUGAAUCCUGAAAAGGUAAACUGUCUAAACUUACCACAAGGCUUCCAUCUUCAAGAACUGAUGUAUAGCGCAUCAACCACAAGUCACGAGCAGGAGCCAGUGUUGUUGGAGCAUAUAGCUAUAACCAACCCAUAUAGCUCAGUUAAAACACUCAAACUUUUAAUUAAAAUACCAAAGUCAAGCACAUUAAACUAGUCAACAAUAGCUACCUGCAUGUAAAGCAGUUCAACGGUUCCAUUAUUUCCAGUGGUCAGUACACUCACAACAUCCACCGACCGACAGUCACGAGACCAUGACGGUUGGUCUUUGAGGAAUUCUACAACCUGAAAACUCCAAAAGUAUCCAAACAUUUAUAGUAAGAAAUAUUAAAUUAGACAUCAAGUACCUAGAGGACAUGCUUAGUUUGAAUUAGAAGAUAACAACUGGAUACUUAGAGCUCACCUUUGCAGGUUCGAUGCCAACAAGGCCGCAAGCUCGUGCUGCCACACCAGCGCAACCAUGUGAGAUAGCAACGAUUCCAAUGGAAUCCGGACCAGGCUACAAAAUAUCGAGUUACACGUCGAGGCGGUAAGCAUGCAUGAAAUGACUAAGAAGCAAAUCAAUUAGUAGAACAGAAAAUGAACCUUUUUUUGUAAGAAAGAAAAUGAAUCUAUAAUAUGGAGGAUCUACUGAUGAAUGGAAACACCAUGGCUAUCAAUAUGAUUUUGUUUUAUCGUCAAACGAUUUGUUAAUUUCACUUCCAAACACUGAAGAAUAGAGAAAAGAGGUGUGAACCUUCAUCCCAGGCAUUUGGACCCACUCAACAGCAGUUCCAGUGGCCUUUGAUAGAAACUCUGCUAAUGUUUCCUCCGCUAUAGACAAAAGUCUACAUUAAAAAUUGUAACACAUAAGCAAUACAGCAAACAAGUAUACAUGAAAAUGUAAAUUUUAAAAAAAAGGAAAAAGGAAAAAGGAAAAAACAUAGAACAAACACAAGAUUGAAGUGCUGUCAACCAUCUCUACAUACCCAGCAGGGCUAGCAUCUCGUGGUGGGUGUUGGGGUGUCAAAUGGUGUCGAGAACUUGUCACCACAGAAUCACAGCUUGUGUCUGUAGUCGUAAUAGCAGCCUACAAUUCAAACAUAAAUCGGAAGACAUCAUAUACAAAAGCAAGAAGAAUACUAAAGCUCGAGUAAGAUCUGUUACCCAUCAAAGGCUUAACGCUUACAUUCUGAGUCUGCUGUCGAAAGUAGCUGUUCUCAUAAACCAACUGAGAAACCUGCUUCUGCAAACGAUCGUUCUCCUCCAUCAACAGCUUGUUCAUCGCAGUUAGCUUCCUAUUCACGGCCUGAAGCCGGAACGAUUCCUUCCGCUGUUUCUCCCUGCACCUAUAAGAGAGAUAACAAAGCCAAACACUUUUUAAACAGUCAAAACAAACAUUUAACUAUAAGAAGCCAAAAACCGGAAAAAAGUAAUUCACCUCCUAUUCUGAAACCAAACUUUAAUCUGUUUAGGCUCUAUGUUAGAGAGAAUAGGGCACUCUCUGAUCAGCUGCUGCCGCCGCAUCGAGCUCGGUUUUGGGCACUCAUGGUAGAGCCUCUCUAGCGCCUCGACCUGCUCCGGCGUAUAGCGUACGUACUUCCCAGGAUCCAUACCACCCUUCCCUUCCUUGCAAGAAGACACAACCAUCAUCCUCUUCACUACAAAGCUCCUUACACAGAUGCCGCAAAACCAACUUUGUGAAUUCAAACUCGGUUAUCGAAAACUACCCAAAGCUGCAAUUUUUUUCUCCUUUUUACCAUUCGCGGCACAACAGAGGUCGGGUUCCUUUUAAACUCUUCAACAAUUAAGGGAAUUUGAGGGUUUCUUCUUCUCCGGAAUAUCGGUUUCCUUUACCUCAAAUACGUAGACAACAGCAAACACAAGAAAGACCGGGUCUUCGAGAUCGGAGAUAUAAAUGAAGAUUAAAACCCUUCCAGAGACUCUCCUUGCAGGGUUAACAAUAUAUAAAACAGUGCGACGAGCGCGAAACCCUCAAAUAAAUAGAAAGCUUUAUCAGCAGAUGCCUUUGAAGAUUCCAAGCUAAGCUUUUUCUUUAUUUUUUUUUUUCCUUUAUAAAAAUUUUAGCUUUUUCUUUUCUCUUCUAUUGAGGAAUCUCCUUUUCCUCUCUUUAAAAUAUUUUAAGCCAAAACAUUCCGCUCCAUCUGUGAGUUCUCGUUCUCCGAAGCUACAUACGGAGGAAGCGAGACGCGAUUCGAACAACAAUAGUACAUGUACACAUAUAUAUUUUUAUAGAAAAAAACAAACCCAGUACAACUCAGCCGAACUCGGCGGUUCGAAUCGGAGGCGCUCCGAUUCGUUCGAAAACCGAACAGCAAAGCCGAUAAAGGCGAUUCCUCUACAAAUGGAGCUCGAUUAAAGCCCCUGACGCAGGGAUCUCGCCAAAUCCGCAGCUUUUCCUCCGAUCGGCGCCGAAAAAUCGGUCUCCAUUACAACAAACAGUGGAUGGAACAGCGGAAACGAAAGAGAUCGGGUGUUAACGACCGAUCCGAUUCGUACGCAGGGUACCGAUUUUGCUCCUCACAUCGCAACAGCGAUCCCCUGGUACGUCCGUGAUCAGAUCCGCGGAUUCGAGUCUUUCUAGGGUUUCGCGAAUCCGGAAGGAUAGAUCGACACCGAGCGAUAGAGGAUUCCGCUCCUCUUCUCUUCGUGAUCCGAGGCGAAGCGGAGAGAGUGUAGCUGCUAGGGUUUUGGUUUCGGAUCCCCGCGACUCGAUUCACGCCAUGGGAGCUGAACCAAGAACUCUCCCUCUCUCACUCUCACUCACUCUCUCUCUCUCUCUCUCUCUCUCUCGUGACUCCAUGUGGUUAGUGAUUACUACCGUCGUGUGUGGUUUAUAUAGGUGAGCUCUUAUGACGAUAAUACCCUUGCCCUGGUUCAGGAAUUUCGCUUCCCCUUCCCAGCACAAAAGGCUUUUUUUGGGAUAGAUUUUAUUUAUUCUUAACUAAUUUUGCUGUUGUGUUUGUCAUAAUAAACUAUUUAAAGUACAAUUUUUAUGGUGCAAUCGGAAAUGAAUAAGUAUAUAUUUUGUCCUAUUCGAUCAAAGUCCAAACUAGUCUCUGUUCAAUAAUUUUAGUUAAUUUUAAAAAAAUAAAAAAUAUUAGACAUAUGUAUUCUAUAAAUUCAAUAUGUGAAAAAAUUACAUGCAUUUGGGAUGAAUUAAUUAGUCAAGAGAAAACAAAAAAUAAUAAAAUUUAAACGGUUAAAAUUAUAUUAUCAAUAUUCAAGAAAUUAAUAGCAUCUCAUACAAAUUCUGAAAAAGAAUAUAAAACCCUACUUCAACAACCAUUUUUUUAGAAAGAGAAAAAUAACAUGAUAUUUAUUUUUAUUUAUUUUUAAAAAUUAAAUUUAAUAAAAAAUAAUUAAUUUUUAAAUUUAAAAAUUUAAGUAUCAAAUCUUAAAUAUUUAGCCAACUUCAAUAGAUUUUUGGAGUGAGAAUAGAUUAUAAAGGUGUAUUUGUGCACAGUGGUAGAAACGUAGUUUUGUUGAAACUUGGGGGCAUAUGUGGGACUAGGGAGGGGGCGUCGCGACGCGUGUUAAGCAAAAUUUAAAAAAAAAAAACUUCAAAUACCACCCUAUAGAUUCGUAUUUUUUCACUUUAACACUCUAUAGUUUAAAAUGUAUCAAUUUAGUAACUCAGUACCUACGUUAAGGGCCUGUUUGUUUCGAGGGAAGUGGGGUGGAAGUGGGACGGGGGAAGUGAUUUUCGGUGAAAACUGACCACUUCCGUUGUUUGGUUCACCGUAAUUUUAUUACGCCCGAAAGUCCAGUUCACGUAAAAUAAUGAACUUGACUUCGCCCUCCCAUGGGGCGAAGUCAAUUCCGGUGAAGUGAAAAAAAGGCAAGAAUGGAUUAAUGUGUUAGGGUUACCUCUUCUAAAAUAUGAUCAAGUUUGAUUAGGUAAGCUUUAAUAUAUUUUUUGUUUAAUUUGUACAUUUAGAAAAUGAUGAAAAAUGAAUUUGUUAAAUGUUAAUAAUUUUUUAACUUUAGAAUUUUAUUUGUUGCAUUAUUAUAAUUUAUAUGCAAACAAAUAAUAUAAUUUUUUAAAAUUUUAUUUUAUAAUUAUACAUAUAUAUAAUUAUAUACAUAUAUAAUUAUAUUAAUUUUAUUUAUUAUAAUUUAUUAUUCACUAUAAGUUACAAAAUAGACAAUAAUAUCACUUUAAAGGUAAGUAUACCGGGGGUGGACAGCUACACUUUUUACGUCAUCUACUUCCUACCAAACAAACAACAGAACUCACAGAACUGCACUUCCACAGUUAGAAACAAACAGCAGAAGUGAAGUAAUUUUCACCCCAACUCCACUUCAACUCAAAGUCCACUUCCACCCCAAGUCUACUUACGUUGAAACAAACAUACCCUAACUUUUUGUUAAAUUAUAUAUAAAAACUUCAUAUACCAUACUUAUAGUCUAUCGAAUAUUUACUUUAAUACUCUUUAAUUUUAACUUUAUUACUGGUUUAAUAAAAAAAUUAAUAAAAUAAAUAAAUAAAUAGAAUUACAGAGUAUAAAUAUAAUAUAUUUUAAAUCAUAGGAUACUAAAAUAAAAAAAAUAAGAAACAUCGAAAGUGAUAUUUAAAGUAAAAAAAAAAGAAAAGAAAAAGAGGAUCGGUUGGCGUGGCUCGGGUGCGUGGCUCAGAGAGGACAGAAUUAUGAUAGUUUUGGCAUGCGUCUCGGUCUCUUCAUCCUCCUCUGCUAAUUUAAUUAUUUAAUUAUUUAAUAUAUUUAAUCUUUACUCACAUGAGAAUUAUUAAUAAUUUCCACCAUAAAAUUGUGUUACAUGAUGUAUGCAACCAAGGUGGGUGCAUGCAUGACACACAAAUAUAUUAUAUAGCAUGCAUGAUUUAGCAUGUAUGAUGAGGUUGGUGUCCUUCGCGUAUGAAAGAAAUAACUUUGGAUUAAAGAAAAAAAAUAAAAUAAAUCUUUUUUUGAGUGAAAGACAGAUAAUUACUGGCUUUUUUUUUAGAAAAAAUAAAUUCAGUUAAAAAUAUGAAACAGUCCAAAUUCAAAAUCUAAUUAUUAUAAAUAAAUUUUAAAUUAAAUUUGUUUUUUAAAAAAUAAUAAAGUAGUAUACUAUCUUUAUCUUAACGGAUAAAUAGUUUAUGUAAUUAUUUAAAUUAUGUAUAUCAAUCAUGCAUUUUUUUUUUUUUUGAAAGAUAGAUAGCACGUUAUCCGCUUCGUUUAUUUCAUUUAGAAAUAAACUUAGCUGGAAAUGUGAAUCAACUAGGAUUCGAACUUGGGUCUCGGGUACCAACUACAAAACCUUUUGCAACUUGCUCUAGGGACGGUUGGAAAUGCAAAUUUUUUUUUAAUAUUGUGUAUAUUAAAACAUCAAUAAUUUUUAAAGACAAUGUAUUAGAAAACUUAUAAUGUGCUCUUAUAGGAGUAACACUCACCCGUCCCUAUCCACAUGUAUGGGCGAAAACAUGUAUACUAUUUAUAGCAUUGAUGUUGAUUAUUAAUAAAUAGAUUCAGUAAGUCACCAUAAUAAAAAGUCUUUUGAGUAAUAUUAAUGUGACAUGUAAGAUAGUAAAAAGUAUAAACAACUAAGAGUAAAUGAUGAUUUUAUAUUCCAAUAAAACUUAAAAAUAUUUUAUUUUUGUAGUAGUUACUUUAUAUAAAAUAAUUGUAAUUAAGCAAUCUUUUUUUUACCGUAAUAUAUAUAUAUAUAUUAAAUUCGACUCCAUGCUUGCUCAUAAAUCUCGCAUUAAUUUACUAGAGAAAUAAAACAUUGAUGGAAAAUUUUAAAAAAUAAUAAUAAAAUAAAGACAACUGUAACGAGCAGCUUUUUUUUUUCACGUAAUAGUGGGAUGAUGGACACCUGAACCAUAUAAGACUCACGGUGUAUAGUCCAAAAAUGUGAUGUGAUGGAAAUGGAUUCGGAUCUCUGAUUACAUACUGUACCCGUGUACCGUAUGUAUAUAACUUUUAGUCUAAUCAAAUCAAUAGUGUUACAUUUGUGAACUUAUAUGGAUGCAACGUCCAAUUUGGACGGCUAUGAUUGAUCCAUCCUAAAUUUGGUGGGUUAGAUUUUAAGAUUCAUGGAUUGGUAUCUCUCGUGCAUCCACAGUAUCUAAAGUGCGCCAAUAAUUGUGCCAAUGCAUGCAACAGCUGUACUGCGGGGCUUGAACGGCUCAGAUCUGUGGGAGUGUACCGUAGGAGGCCGUACGCGAUGAAGUAACAACGAAGUGCACGAAUGUGAUAGAUUCUAUCUUAUGGGCCAUGGUGGUGGUGGUGGUGGUGGUAUAUAGAUGUACUAGAGCUGGCACAGUUUACUAGUAAUCACGUAUAUGCAUAAAACUUAAUUUUCGCAGGUCAAAUUAAUAUUGCUCGUGAAAAAACAAAAGAUUUAUAUAUGUAGAUGCGUCGUAUUAUAAUUGUUAGCAUCCUAAUACCAUAUAAGUAUAAUGUCUCAGAGAAAAUUAAGAGUAUCUAACAAUAUAUGCUUGUUCUCGAUCAGAAUAUAUCAUAUCUUAUAUUUUUUAUUUUAUUUUUUUGUCUGAAGUGGUAGGAUAUGACACAUUUUCUAUAGAAAAGAUUUUGAUUCUAGCCAUCGUAAGUAAAUGAUUUAAGACUUUAUUGCGAUGGAAUUUCUGAGUCUUCGAAUAUUUACGGACAAAGAUGAAAAAAAAAGACAAAAAUAAGGAUUCUGAAAGGUUAAGCUAUAUAUUCAGCGGCUAAUAAGUUAACUAUUUAUGAUAAACUCAUCUAUUUCUCAGCGGCUAAUAAGUUAACUAUUUAUGAUAAACUCAUCUAUUUCAUUUUUGAAGUGAAUGAUUGAGGUUGUUCCCUAAUUGAAGGCUAAUGUGGUAUGUGCUAAAUAUAUAUUUCAUUCGACCAAUAAUCACAGCACAGUGUUAUAACUUUUUUAUUUAAUGAUAUUCUUUUAUUGAUUAUCCUCAAGCAUGAAGAUGUCAUGCAUGUGCAUGCCACAUAAAAAUUAAUCCGAUCUUUGAUUAUUAAUUAAUAUUUUAAAUUAUUAAUUUAUAUUUUUAUUUGAUGCGAAGCUCAUUAGUGGAGUGACACGUGGCCCCACCAGUGGGCCCCAUUACAAUGAUAUGUAACUGUUACAGGGAAGGCUCCGCUUUGGGCAAGCGGAGGAAACCGCCAUGCGGAUUCGGGCGAGGGAGGAGACAAGCGGAUCCUGUCACCGCAGUCUCAGGAAAGAAUAUGGUGGGCCCCCCACGCACCCCUGGAACUCCUUGAAUGAGGAGCAUCUCACAAUUUUCUUAUUUAUUUAAUUAUUUCUUUUGAUAUUUUGUUACAUGAAUGAUAUUUUUAAACUGCACGUAAAAUCAAAUUAAAUCUUUACACUUUUACAUUUCUUAAAAAAAAAAAUCUUUACACUUACUAGUACUUACUUAUUUUUAAUAAAUGCAAGAUAAAUUUAUAUGAUUUUAUCAGAUUGAAACAGCGAUAGUAAUAAAAAAUAAAUAGUUGAACAGCAAUAUCGAUAAAAUUACUGUGAGGAAGUGAUGAGUAACAACCACAUCAUAAUUAACACAAUGGAAUUACCUAAAUCUAAUCACAUUUAAUUUUUUUCAAAUAAAUAAUCAAAUUUGAUAUCCUAAUUUGUUAAUACCAAUGUUACAUUUUAUUUAUUCAGGCCAAUUUUUUUUUGUCGCGUAGUUUAUUGAUUACUAUUUUUGUAUAUAUAUUAUAAAAUUAUAUUGGGAAAUAAAAAAAAAUUGUAAAAAAGUACAGGAUCAUUUAUUAUUUUUACGAGGAGAAUAAAGUUAGAUUAAUAAUAAAAUAUGUAUUAAAAUUAAAAUAAUAGAACGCCACAAUGCCUUUUAAUUUUUUUUUAAAAAAAGAAAAAAAGCGAUAGGUGGGACCCACGAGCGGCGGAGUAGCAAAAAGUGGGAACUUGUCCUCUGCGUGCGCUGGACAGUGACGUGUCACUUCGCUCCAUCCAACGAAUAUGCGCCCCCCGCCCCCCCUCCCCUGUUUCCUUUUUCUUUUUUUUUUAAAUAAUUUCAAGAUAAAUUUAAUUUAAUGCCACCACUCUCGGCUUUAUUAAAUAUUUUACUUACAUUUAUUGCGGCAUAUUUUAAUGCGCACUAAGCUAUCAUGUUACCGCAACAUAUCUGUAAAUAUCAAUCUAAUAAAAAGCGAGUUAAAAAUAGUUUUUUUUUUAUUUUUUAAGAGAUAGAUAAUACGCUACUCGCAUCGUUUAUUUCAUUUAGAAAUAAAUUUAGCUGAAAAUAUGAAUGAACUAGAAUUCGAAUUUGCGAUCUCGGGUACCAACCACUAAACCCUUUGCCGCUUGCUCUAAAAACGGUCGGUGGUUAAAAUUAGUUUUAAUACUUUCGCACACAUGUAUAGUGAAUGUUGGGUGGUUUUAAUUCAACACCGAUAUCAUAUUUUUCUAAAAAAUUCAUUAAAUUGAUAAUGGCUCGAGAUUUGUCUUAAAAGUUUCAUAAAGGAUCUAGAUUUGGGACCUAUUUCACAUUUUGUAAAAUGUGAGUUAUUGUGUAAAUCAAAUUCGGCCUUUUGGACUCGAAAUUUAAUUUCGGCUUCGCACUGUAAUGAAUAUUCCAUGCAAUGCCUAGAUUGAGAUCUGAACAUACUAAGCCAUAAAUAAAUCUAUAUAUAUCUAAGUUGGAUUUGGAUUAAAUUUACGACUUAUUAAGGUCUCAUUUGGUAUCCUACUAUCCUGUAUGUUUUAAAUUUGUUUAAAAAUAAAAUUUUUUAUAUACGAAAAGGUGAAGUGGACUGCCGAUUGCUUGCAAUCUUUUUAUAUAAAAUAUUAUUUGACAAUAAAUUAAAAAUAAAAUUUUGAAAAUAAUUUUUUUUUGCUUCCAAUUUUUUUAAAAAAUAAGUCGUCAUCUACCAUUUGACACAAAAAAAGAGUAUUUUUUCUAACCCAUCAAAUUAUAUAGAAUUAAUAUAAGAAAAUAACAACGAUACCAAACAAGGCCUAAGAUUUUUGAUCAAACACUCUUCAAAUUAAAUUAUAUAUUUUCUUCGUAUUAUUGUUAUAAUUUAAUAUAACAAAGACGGCGGUGACAGCGGCCGCGCCGCGGUGGCGGUGGUGGUGGGGUUAGAGACCAGUGGUGGUGCACUUAGCCGGAAAAAAGGAAAAAAUUUGGUGCAUCUUUUAUAAUUUAGGUAGGCCCAUUUUAAACAUAACAAAAUAAGAUAAGCUUGUUUAUGCGCAAGGAGUCCUAGUCCUAAAUGAGCACCACAAUCCCACUAACACCCCCCACUUUUAGCACCAACUCUUUCAUUUCUUAGUUAACAUAAAGUGUUUCCUCUAUGGAUUGUAAAAGUUUAAUGUGAAACCCACCAUUUCCAAAGAUUGGAGAAUUUGAACGAUUAAGGUCUCGUUUGGAAUUAUAACAAUUUUUUCUAUGUUUGUUAAAUUUGUUUAGCAAUAGAAACUGAAAAAUUUAUGGCCAUUCACAUCUCUUUCUUUGAUAGUGCUAGUUUCUACUUGACGGAGAUGUUUCGCAAGUGAACCAUCAAUCGAUCUGAUAAAGAGUUCGAUCUGAUAGCGUGUAGGGUCCGUUUGCUUUGCUGCAAUCGUCUUGUCCAAACUCUCACGAGUUACGCAAACUUUGCGGAGCUCACCGACGUUCGUGGGAUAUAUUUGUGCAGGUCAGAGCAAAGCGCAGAGUUCGAUCGCAUGAUCCAAAAAAAACGGAGUUCUUCGAGUUUAGGACACUGCACUUUUGCCUUGGAGUUCAAGGAAAACAACCGACAUUGUGAAGUUACCGACCGUCCCUAGCGCAAGUGUUAAAAGGUUUGGUGGUUGAUAUCCGAGGUCCCAAGUUCGAAUCCUAGUUGAUUCACAUUUCCAGCUAAGUUUAUUUCUAAAUAAAAUAAACGAAGCGGGUAGCAUACUACCUAUCUCUCAAAAAAAAGACACUGCGAAGUUGUUCUUACCCUUGAAUGCAGCAGCCUAAUGCGUUUUCCAUAGAACUGUAAAUGGACCUGAUCAUGAUGGUCCAGCUAGAGGCCCAGCUCUGUUCUGAGCACAAACUCAUGCUAAAUCGUUUCAUGAUGAGUUAGGCUGUAAAUGUGAAACAUUAAGUAAGAGAAUUUAUUAUUUCGUAACUUAAGCUUUUGUAGAUAAAUAGCUGUUUCCUACGAGAUUUGGCUAUUAAAAGGAGGUAGGUGAAACCUUAAUUUGAGGCUUUUUAACAAUCAGAAAAAUAAGUGGGACACGCUCUCAAAUAGUUAUUACUCCAUCAAUACUUUACAAAAGCUUAAGGUUAGUAUCUUGGCAUUAAGGUUAGUAUCUUCCAAAAAAUUAGGCAGGAUAGAUAUCGGAAAUUUUCGAAAAUAAGACUCGAGAGGUGGACAAGUUCUUUAUUUCUUUCACCAGCAUUAUGAUUUUUUUUUUUUUUUUUUUUCGAGUUUCAACUAGAGAGAAACUACAUAUAUACAAACUACUCCUGGGAUCAUAACCUGCGCGUUCAACUCAAACCCAUUGUUAUUAUCCUCCACAUGAUCCCUCCACAGCCUCAUCGUCGGCGUUCAUAUUCUCCGUCUCCUCCUCCUCGCUAACAUAAGCUGAGAGGUUGAUGUAGCGGUUGCGUUCCCUCCGCUCCCUCCAUCGCGCCCUGCACACCACGCAGCUCGCCGCCCUCCUCCCCCGGCUCCUCUUCCACCUCGUCAUGCACUCCCCGUGCACCCAGUUCCCGCACGCGCUGCACACGGCCACCUCCUUCCCGUCUCCUCCAUCCCCCGCCCCCAUCUCCUCCAAACACACCGGGCACGUCCCCCCUCCGUCCCUCGCGCGGACCGUGUCGCCCUCCCCGUCCCCGGCCGCUGCGGGACGCCGCCCGGAGAAGAGCUCGUGGAACCUCGCGCGUGCCCGGGCACCGGCGAGGACGCCGGGCGCUGUUGGGGCCGCCAGGAGCCGUGCCAGCUGGCAUGGCCGCAGCUGGCGGCGCCAGACGCACGCGUCGUUGAAGGAGAGGCCGAGGACACGGAGGAGGACGAAGAGGACGUGCUUGCACGGGACGGGGGCGCGGUCCGGGCAAGUGCAGGAGGGGGCGGGGGCGGAGAGGGUGACGGCGUAGACGUUGCCGGUGGCGCCGAGGACGAAGAAGUCAGGGCCGACGCGGUGGAGGAGGCGGAGGCGGUGGCGGAGGGCGCGGACGAUGCGGUCAGCGACCUGCUGGGCCGGAUCAGCGUAGCGGGUGGGCUGCGGUGGGGAGUUGGAUCCGACGGACUCCAUGGGUUGGGUGUGCAGGUGUGACUGCGGUGGGUUGGGGUGUUUUCUGUAACAGAGGAGGAGGGAUGGUUGUGGAAGAAGAGGGGGAAUGGGAUGCGUUGAGUGCUGUGGAAGAAGGAAGGAUGGAGUACGGGCGAGGAGUGGCGGUUGAUUAACGGGCGGGAAAGGGAGAGUAGAUAUGCCAAGUAACUUUGGGCUCAAGCCAACUGUGGCUUCGAACCCAAACCCAUUGCUGACGAUCAGUCUCCGGAUUACGUCAAAGAUGGGUCGGAUGAUAAGAUCCCUUCGGAUCACCAUUCCAUCCAAUGAGUUACACGCUAUUUAAAAUCCAGCUUGCCACAACACGCACGAAUUGAAAAAAGAAAAAAAGAAAAAAAGAAAAAAAGCAAAAAAAAGAAAAAGCAAAAUCGUAAUAGUUAAUCAACUCACGUUCGUCACUUCCUAUAUGAUUUCCCUGAUACACUGUUAUGUCCAACUACAUAAAAUAUGUUGUAAAUAAAGACAACAUUUCAGAUAUCCAAAUCCACAAGAGUUAAAAGCAAUUAUGUUUCAAAGGCUAGUAUUUGAUCUGAAAAUGGAAAAGAUUAAUGGAAACAGACCACCAUCAAGCCUACAACCAGGUAAUUUUCAUCGAACUCCGGAUAUGGUAAAACAAGCCGAUAAAAAGGUUCACAACAUUAACAUAUAAUUGCAGCAAAUACCAAAAGAAAACAAAAAAACACCCAAGGCAAAACAGGACGAUCCAACUUGACAAAAUUGGUUGCAAAAAAGUGUUUUUGGCAGCUACAAUACCCGAAUUCGUAACAUGUAAAUAUUUUUCCUUUUCAAGGGAAAAUAAAUAGGAAGUUACAGAGAUACCUAGAUUGCCCCGACUACAAUUAAAGCUGCACUCUUAUGAAAAAUAGCUGACAAAAGACGGGGAAAAGAGGAGAUCAUAUUGUAGGGGAAGAGAGACCUAAGCUCCAUUAGCCACGGUAAGAAAUCUAUUAUCGAGGCGCGCUAAGACCUGUUUCUGAAAGAAAUUCAAAGAAAAUUGUUAAGCUUAAUUUUCUAAAAGUUUUCCACUAACCACAAAAUCACAUAUAGGACGGAAAAGAAAACAAAAAAGAAAAGAAUAUAAAUGUGCUGAAUCAUGCAAUUCAUACAAGGAAAAAGUGAAUUGAGUAUUGGAAUUUUGGUACUCACAAUCUAGUUCCAUAGAAGGAAGAGAAUUAGGUAGCAUAUCACAUAUUCUCUCAAAAUUGGAUGAUGCCACGUAAUUCAUGAAGGAUGGAAAUCAACGACGAUACAUUAAAAGAGCAUGAAGCAUGCUUUCAAUACUAUUCACAAUUAUUAGAAUGUAGGGAUGCACUUAAGGGGUCAAAGGGUCAAACACACUGGAUGGUGUUUACAUUGUGUAUGUGUGCUUUGCCCUGAAGGGCAUAUAACCUGGUAUUUAGUCACUGCAGAAAAACUAGAAUUUCUUACACUAAUUAAUCCCCCUCGAACAAGGAUGCGGAAUUGCCUGCACUUAUUAUAAUUGUCAGUGAACAGCUAAACAAAGAGAUACUCAAGUGUAUGUUUGAAGAACUUAUUUGCUGAUACAUCAGGAUCAAAUAUUUACUAAAUAUUUUCAUUAUCUAAUUACUUCAGCUUUUGAUACGCAGACAAAAAUGGCAAGAGUAGUUUGGGAGGCCAGAGUUGGCAGAUUAAGCUAGCUCAAUGUUGCCAAGUUUGACUAGCUGAUUAAGUUCAGUAUGAUAUCAACACCAGAAAAUGAAGCACGCAAUUAAGGGCACAAGCAGCAAGAACCAGGUUGAUUGAGAUUGAAUAUCCAGUAUUUUUGACUUGCAAGGCGUCAAUAAAAGGAAAGUAAUCAUAUAAAUUACUUACUUAGCUCCUUGUUUAUAACUAUACUCGUAUUCUAGGGGAUCAUACAAGGUUGAGUGUAUUGUCAACUGUGGGGCGGGAUAUUAUAUAAGUUGUAUUUUGGGUUAUGGGCAAAGAUAAGCUAUGAUGGUGUCAACAUGUCCGUUCACUGGUCGUUUCAUCAUAAGAAACACCAUAAAUGAUAAAAAUUAUCAGUGUAAUCAGCAAAUAUUACUGUCUUUUCUGUUGGCAAUAUGCAUUACACAACCAAUACAAACAUUCUUGGUGUUAAGUUUGCCGAAAUAUAAAUAUGAGCCCUAAACCUGUCCAAACAUAACUUCAAUAAUGAGAUUUUAAAAUGCAGAAAGAGUAUUCUUUGCAGUAAAAUAAAUUAUUAUCACACUAACAUUACGAUUUGUAUCUUUUGACUUAGUUCCCAAUUACGUUUAACUUCGCAAAACCAGUGCUUACACUAGUUGCUUUUCGAAAUCUCUCGGUAGAUAAAGACCUAAUUUUUAUUCUCUUUUUCCAAACAAUUAAACUCAUGACAUUAUGAGAAUAUAGAUCACAACCAUAAUUCCAAUCAACAGGUCAAUUAUCACCCUUGCAUCCAUAACCAAUCAAUUUGUCAACCCCAGCAUGACCGAACAUUGUAGGUGUAAUCCUAAGAUAACAAGAGCGUACUAAGCAGUGUACUCAUUCAAAUGAAGGAACUAAAAUGGGAGGGGAACCGAAAGAUCCAGUGGCUUACUCAACAAAAGAAACAAAACAAUUGGAGAUCAGACUCCUGGAUUCGAGCUGCAGAGCGUACCCUGCGACAGAGAUCUCGAGCUCCCCGCGGAGUCGAUCCCGAGGCGCGACGUGAGCCGAGCCGACGACACCACGCUGUGGAGCGGAAGCAACGAUUGGAGGGUACCCAGUCGCGGCGAAACCCUGAGAGAACGGAGAUCGAACCCUUGAAUGAGACCUCAACAGAUCAAAAAGGGGGAAGUGGAGAAGCUGAGAGGAGUUUGAGUUACCUCGUGAAGGGAGGCGGAGGAGCACGAGCAAGGGGAGCGGUGGGGGAGAGGAGGGGGCGGCUAGGGUUUCGGGAGGCGUGGGAGAGGAAGGAGGCGACGGGGCGAGAGAUCGAGCGGAGGCGCGACGCCAUGGAUGUGGGAGAGGGAGAGGGCCAAGGAACGACGCAAAGGAGGUUUUAGCGCGGAGAGAAUAAAAACCCUAGAUGGUUAUAAAUGAUGAACUCGGCUUCGGCGUGAAGUCGGCGUUGGUAUCUGAUUGGCACAAGCAAAGUCGGCGUUGAGUUGCCCUACUAAGUUUGAAGGAACUAUUCGGUUGGUUGGGCUCGAGCCAAGCCAACGAGCCAACAUCGAGCUAGCUUAGAAUUGCGUGACUGAGCUCGAGCUUGGCGUUUCCCCUAAAUCUAAUACAGCCCGAACUCUAUCACUAUUUCGAGUCAAAGUACGGUUAGUUAACAAGAGCUAUUCAGCUCAGCUAAUUGAAAUAAAAGAUGAGAUGAAAGCAAUACAUGUCAAUAGGCACGUCUAUAGUUGAUCUGGUGGAUUGGUUUCUCUCUUUGGAACUACACUAGAGUUCUAUUAAUAGCACCAAAUCUCGAAUUAAGUGAAUAAUUGGUUGAAUUAUAUGAUCUAACUGAAGAUAGCCAAAAUAUUAGAUCUACGAAAAAUAUAAUAGCACCACUUGGUGCUAUGGAUAGUAAUGUAGCCGAACUCUUUUUUUGAAUUAUUACAAUAUUAUUACAAUGUUACAACUUAAAUUAUAAUUUUUUUUUAUCAUUUUUUAAAAAAUAUUUUAGACUUUUUAUAUUUUAUAUAAGUAAUAUGUUUUGAAUUUUUAUGUCAAACAGUGCGAGGGACAUAAUGGAUUAAUUGUAGUCUUUACAUUUAAGGUAUUUAUUUGAGAGCACAAGAAAAUAAAAAUUUUAAAAUUAUUUUUUUACGCUUUAAAAUAUUUUUAAAAGUGUUACCCAUCACUUAGUCGAAAUACAAUGUAAGUUAACUAACUAUGACAAAUUUUUCUACUAAUAUAUUAUACUAUACUAUAUAAAAUUAGUAUAUAAUAUAAUAAUUAAGAAAGUCCGACUAUGGUGCUUUGGAAAGCACCAAUCAUGUAGUGCUUCCAAUUUUUUAAUCUUUGAAGUAAUUUUUUUUGAACAUUUUUAAUUUUUGAAUUGAUAUUAUUCUCCUAAAAGGAUUGCUCAACUUUAGAGUAUCCACUAUCAUUCUAAUUUCAUAAUUUUUGAUACGAUGGUCAAAAAGCUAAAGCACUAACUAUUUUAUAUUUUCAAAAGAAUAAUAGCUCUAUACUAAUUAAGAUAUCAUAUUAUUUUAAUAUUCACAAAAUAUUAAUAAUCAAUUAAUUAAUUAAUUUAAUUAUAAUAAUUUAUAAAAAUUUGAAUUUAAAAUUAUAAUAAAUNUAAUAUAUUAUGCUAUACUAUAUAAAAUUAGUAUAUAAUAUAAUAAUUAAGAAAAUCCGACUAUGGUGCUUUGGAAGCACCAAUCAUGUAGUGCUUUUAAUUUUUUAAUCUUUGAAUUAAUAUUUUUGAACAUUCUUAACUUUUGAAUUGAUAUUAUUUUCCUAGGAGACCACUCAAUUUUAGGGGAUCCACUACCAUCGUAAUUUUAUAAUUUUUGAUACAAGGAAGCACUAACUAUUUUAUACUUUCAAAAAUAUAAUAAUAAAUUUAAAAUUUUAAUAAAUUUAAAAUUUUAAACCAAAAUAUUAUGUCAAUUUUUUUUGGAUUAACUAAAAAGUAUUAAUUUGGCUAAAAUACUAUCUUUGAAUAAAAUAAUAGAAAAUUUAUGUCUAUAUAUAUAUAUAUAUAUAUAUAUAUAUAUAUAUAUAUAGACAAAGGGAUAUGAAAUAUAUUUCUUGUUAUGAAAAAGUGACUCUCCAAUCUAUAUGUACACGUACUCUCCAACUAUAUAUACUUUUNCUUCCAUCUACGACGUGACAAACAAGGAUGUGGCGGUAAGUCGUUGCGAUGAGCAGGCAUUUAGGGGUUUUGCAUAUUUUUGGCCCCUUCCUUUCCCUGUCGCAGCAUCUCUGACCUUUUCGCCCAACCUCUUUCCUCUCGGCCAUGGACAACAAUCCGAGCAACGGAGACGAAGAGCCAAUGGAGGUGGAGGAGGAGGAGGAGGAGGAGGAGGAGGUGCGGUGCCUCGAUCUCACGAGCUACCAACUCCACGAUCUUGGCGAGGUCGAGAUACCCGAGAGCAUCGAGGAGCUGGACCUCACGGCCAAUCGGCUAUCCAAGCUCGAUCCCCGCAUCGCGCUUCUCUCUCACCUGAAGAAGCUCUCGCUCCGCCAAAACCUCUACGACGAUGAGGGGAUCGAGCCCCUAUCCCGCUGGGAUACGAUCUCCGGAUUGCAUGUAUGCCCUAAUCGCUGAAUCUCCUUACACGUUUCUUAUUUUGAUGAUUCGUUGCAGCAUUUGUGUGAUUGGAUAUGAAAACUUCGCAAUAUCGCAUUUAUCUCGCCGAAUCAGUCCGAUAAUUUCAAUAUUAGACUCAAAUCUGUUUGGAAUGGGCAACUUUCGUCUUAUCUUUGAUCCGACACGCAGGUUUAAUCUAGAAAAUUGUUGAAAUCUAUGAAAUAGGGUGUUCAUCGAACUAUGACAUGUGGUAUGCAUUGAACUAAUUAAGCUUUCUAAUUGCCCAAUGAUCACCUGGACCACAUAUAUACAGGAAUAUGUUGAGAUGUUUUAAUUUUCUUUACUUCUGCCAGUUUAAUUCUGUUGCAUAUGCAUUAUUAUGUACAUGUUAUUCGGUAAUGUAGAACUUGAUAUUCUAAGUGCUGAGUCGCAUGUCAACUCAUUUUGUAUGUGCAUAUCGCACCUUGAUAAAUAAGUAUUUACCCUAUCUUUCCUAUGGAGUGUAAAUGUAAUUGAGUUGUUUUAAGGUAUAUUAUGUUAAUCAAAGCAGACUAUUACUUAUCUGAAAGUUUUUUCCUGCAGGAGUUAGUUCUCAGGGAUAACAAACUCACAAAGAUACCUGACGUAAGCAUUUUUAAGAGUCUUCUUGUAUUUGAUGUCUCUUUCAAUGAGAUAUCUUCCUUAAAGGGUUUAUCCAAGGUUUCAAGCACGCUCAAGGAACUUUAUGUUUCAAAAAAUGAAGUUGCAAAAAUGGAGGAGCUUGAACAUCUCCAUGCAUUGGAGAUUCUUGAGCUUGGUUCCAACAAAUUAAGGGUGAGAUUUUGUUGAUAUUAUUAAUUUACUGCAUCAUUAGAAGGCUUCAGAUAUUUGGGUUUCAACUCUAGAACGAAAAAGCGAACCUUUAGCAAAGUAGUUUUUCUAUAACUGACAAUUCAUAGUCUUUGAAUAUGAAUGCGACAAAACAUUCCUGGUUCUUGAUGUCCCUCCUUAUUGCUUCUGAUUUUAUUUCAGACAAUGGAGAAUCUAGCCAACUUGACAAAUCUGCAUGAGUUGUGGUUAGGAAGAAACCGUAUCAAGACUGUUAACUUAUGUGGGCUGAAGUCUAUCAGAAAAUUAAGUUUGCAGAGCAACAGGUUGACGUCCAUGGCAGGGUUUGAAGUAUGUAAAACAGUGUAACCUCGUACUGCUAGUUAAUUCAUUGUUGGAGUUUUAUUUCUACUCAUGGUUCAUCAUUCUCAGGAAUGUAUUGCAUUGGAAGAACUAUAUCUGAGCCAUAAUGGUAUUCAGAAGAUGGAAGGCUUAUCCACCUUGCAGAACCUUCGUAUUUUGGAUGUUUCAUCUAAUAAGUUAACAGCUAUCAACGAUAUUGAUAAACUGACAAAGUAUAAAUCCCUGUCCUUCGUAUACUCACCCCCUCAACCGUUAAUUCUCUUUCCUUUUCUUAGUGCUUUUUAUUGCACUUUGCAGAUUAGUGGACUUGUGGUUGAAUGACAACCAAAUAGCAUCACUAGAAGGUCUGGAAGCUGCUGUAGCUGGCUCCAGGGAGAGCCUUACAACAAUCUAUCUCGAGCACAAUCCAUGUGUAUGUUGUUCUAAUCUUUUACAUGAACUGAUUUUGGUGUUUUAAUUGGAUUUUUUGAACUCUAUAUCCUUUAUUUAGGCAUUAAGGUAGCAUGUUUUCUCCUUAUAGGUUUAUUGCAACUUGCCCAUUUCAUUUUCUACUUAACCUUUGGCCACCUGCUUAAUUGUUAAAGACUUAUUGUAAGUGCCUGAAAAAUGCAAAUGUCAGCAGUCUUUUUAUUUUUUGUGGAUAUAUGGAUUUCAGCCUUUCAUAGGUGAGGUGAAAGGGUGUUUUGCUUUCCGUCUAUAUAUUCAUCACUUUCUUUGCUACAUGAGCUGCCCACUUCUUUUAUUUUAAAUUCACGAUUCUUUUCCAGAUGUUGAAUGUGUACUUCACAUUCUUCUUUUGUUAUAGUUUGCAAACUCUCACGCAUACUCGAUGAAUGGUUAAAAUAAAGUGUUGGUUGAUAGAAAGGUGAUUGUAUACAAUGCACGAACUACUAAUUAGAAAACCAACGACAAGUUGCUUUCUGGCUCCUCAAUGUAUUGUACUUUGUCCUUGAGGGCUAGUAAAUCUGCACACCUGUCUAUGUACAUGCGUAGGAUGCAGUGCUGCUACCUGUUCAUUCUUGUACUCUAGAAUCUAGGCUGGUGACUGCAUAACCCCAAACUGCAAUCUGCAUAUGCAUUGUUGUUUCAUGCGUGAUUUUGCUAACCAUUGGGUUUGAAUAUCAUAGGUAUUAAGUAGCUGGUAGGUUACGAACAGGUACAAAAAGGAGAAUGCCUUGUUUGAACCAGGAAAUGGCCUCUUGGAUCCACCACUGAGACAUGCGUGUAGUGUCCUUCGUUCAUGACCAAAUUCUAAGAGGGUUGGCAGUGCGCCAUAAUGUUGUUCUGUACCACGAACUUUUGAUUUCUUUCUAGUGAUUAUCUUGCAUUUCUGCAGCAUUGUUGCUCAUGGUUUCUCACUUGACUGAGAAGCUCUAGAGUUUUUCUGCCAAAAGCUGCCCCUCUGCCUCUUGAUUAGAGAAGUUGUUCUAAAAGCUCGGCCAAAUGUAUACUUUCUUAUGUAAACUGAUACUCUUAUCAAAACUAAUCUCUCAACAUUAUGCAUAAUUAACAAGCAACUUGAUUUUGCUGAUGUGUUUAAAAUAGCCAACAAAACCUUGUCUUAUGAUUUCUGAACUUACAAUGAUACCAUAAUUUGUGAUGGACGACAGUAAACAUUGUAUCGAUCUUUUCUUAUGAUCUAUGUUUUUUUGCAGGCUUCCUCUCCAAAUUAUACCUCUACUUUAAAGCAAAUAUUUCCAAAUAUUCAGCAAAUUGAUUCGGAUAUAUUGAUGUGAGCAAUCAAUUGAGCAUCUCAUGUGGCAGGCAAUAGAAAAUCAUGAGAUGGGAUGUUUCGAGAAAUGAGCUAAAGGGGUGGCAAUUAUCAAUUAAAAUCCGAACGAUCAAUCGUCUGUUGAGCAAUAUAUAUUCUCUGCUUUGGGAUACAGUUUUCAUGCUCCCAAAGUUUGUUAAUUGUUUACCUUUAUGACAGUUUCACUGAUCAAUCGUGUUAGCUUUGAGAUUAAAGCGUCUUGUAAGAGGAUAGAGAACUUUUGUAUUUUGACUUAGAAAGGUUCAGAAUGUUUGCUAUCCGAAGUUAAAUUGAUAAAUAAAUUUUCGAGGUAAGCACCUGUAUUUGAUUCUGUACUUAAGUAGCAAGAAUUUUGAGACAUAUGCAGGUGCAUUAUUCUACAGAUGAAAGUGGAACUGGAUGUAAGAGCUGCUGUGAUGGGUAUUAUCGUAAAUUCGUACUUCAACAUUUUUUCUCAAGUAUCAUCUGGUAAUGGAUAUGCUUAAAUGAAUUAGGCUAUUAUGCUAUUAAUAGUACCAAGUCAUUGAUGUUAUUAGAUUUUCAGUCCUUAAAUGAAGGAAUUCAUGAUUAGGAUGAUAAUAGUUCCGUAUAGUUGAGUGAGUUGUUUCUUGAAUAGUAUGAUUUAACGAAUGAAAAUGAUCAAAUGAAUAGAUCUAAUGAUGAAAAAUUUUGAUAGUAUUAAGUGUUUGGUGUUAUUGAUAGCAUACUAGCCGAAUUCUGGUUAAAUAUCUUCUAUUCUAAAGGCGCAAUCAUCGGUACUGGAAUCCCUGAACUGUUUGAUGUUUUGAGAUGCAUCGUAAUAAGAUACUUUCGAGAUUAAUUGAACGCGGAAUUAAGUGCUUCCAAACGCACCUGCAUAUUAUUACAUCCACUGUUACUGCUUCCAAACGCCAACACUACUGCCAUUUUACCUAUUAGAUGAAAACUACCCUCUUCUCAUCAUCAUCGUAAUUUUAAUGCUCUCCCAAAACAGUAACUUUUUUUUUUUUAAUCUUUUAUUGAGUAGCCCCGAGUUUUAUGCAGUAGCAUCGAGCCUGGAGAAAAUGUAGGCCCGGAUCAAUUGAGUAAGAUGGGCUCAGUCCAUAACCUAAUAAUAGUAAUAAUAUAAAUGUGUUUUUGGGCCGGACCUGGUGUUCUUACGAUUUUAUCAACGGGCCUAGCUUUUGUAUUCACGUCCAACCCAAAAGAAAAAGGAAAAAAAAAUGAAUAAAAAAGCUCUCUAGAACUUUUGAUUAAGGUAAAAAAGUAAAAAGAAAAAAAUGUUACUUGUGCAUACGCUCUUCAUAGGAGUGUAAAUCUUGCAUCUCUAUAUUCAAAAAUUGAUAAAUCCUUUAAAUUUAAAAAAUAGCAAGAAAAUAAUGGAUUAAUGUGAUUCACAAAGAACUUCGAGGUGUAAAAUUUACAUUCUAAUAUAAAAUUUAUGGAUAGUAUUAGUCAAAAAAAAAAAAAAAAGUAGUAGUAUGAGCUUUAAAUUCAUACCAAAAGCAUGAGUUCUAUUUAAAACUUUUGCUCAUCGCAACAGUAGGCUGUUGGUAGUGGGGACUUUUCAAACAACAGUACAACUUGUACAACAUUUCUAGCUACUAAGGCCAAUUGGAUAGGCUAUAAAAUCAUAGGCUAGCUUAAGCUACGUACUACAGUUGCUUACAAUUAGAACACAACAGCUUUAAUACUAUUUCAGAACUCACAUCAUUCAUGUUUCAUGUUUUGCGUCCUAUAAUCGUAUUUGGUACCACAUACCAUUAAUGAUUGGCAUCCCUGCAGGUGCGGUUAGAUCUUAGGAGUAAAACUUUUGUCAGCAGUCAGCAGUGAUAUGGACAUCUUACAAACAUACAGAUAAAAUUAUAUAAAAUUUACCCCAACUAUAGUUCCUUUUUACGGUUGACUUAUUUUAAAUUUUAACCUUAUCAUUCGAUCUUUUAAUUUAUUUAAUUUAAGUGGGUAAACAACACUUUAAUGUCAGAACAUAUCAUUUGCAUUUGCAGGUUUACUUAGCAUAUUUUAUUCUAUUUUUAAAUUAAGCAAUUAACUUAAUUUUUAAAGUCAAAGUACCGGUGACUAACUCAAAUCAAACAAACUUAAAAGACCGAAUAGUAGAAUCACAAUUUUGAAAGGCCGAAUAGUUAAUUCAAAAUAGCCCAUAGUUCGAUUAAAUUUUAUAAGUUUUUGCCGAAUAUAUGUAUAUAUAUAUAUAUGUUUUAGAUUGUAGUCCGUGAAUUAACUUUGCAAAUAUGAUGAUAAGUUAAUUCGUUAGCAUUUAAAAAUUUUAAUGUAGUACAUAUAUAAGUCGAAGCUGGACCAUUAAUAAUUUGUCAGUAUUAAAAUUGACUCAUUAAUUAUACUUUGUGUCCGUUAAACGACACUCGAUUUGCAGUUUUUGACUUUGUCACCCCCACUUUCUUCUAAUCCGGCACUGAGCAAUCAUUGAUUAUUCUUUGCAAAUCUUAUAGUAUGUGAAUCUCGCUUUCAUUAGAUAUGCUGACGAUCAUGUUUAAAAAAACUGAUACAGGAUUAGAUUGUUAAACAGCAAUUGAACAGUGUUAUUUGUGAUCAUUUCUCUAAACAAAUCUUCUUCGUCAUAGGGUAGGCUACAAAUCGUGCCCUCGGAAAUGCCACGUGUCACAAUUGUGUUAACUGUCCUUCGAUUAUCUGACGUGGAUUUGCCCCCUCUGAGAAGUCGAAAGCGACUAUGAAAUUUUUAAUGGUGUUUAGAUGAUUGAAAGCUACUUGUUUUUUUUUUUCUUUAUCAUUUUUUUUUUCUUUUCUCUCUACACUGGUGCACAACAUAGAAAUGCCAUGUUUCACAGUUGCAUUUUAAUGGUGGAGAUUCAUCACAAGGAAGAUAAAAGAAAAGGGUUGCUAGGUAGGAACAGUGGAUUUUGCUCUCAUUAUUCUCAAGACUCUACACAGUGUAGCUUUUGAUGAUUAAUGUCCUUUUCCAAGAAAAAGCUUAAGAAGCUUCUUCACUCGACAAAAUAAAAUUAAUAAAAACCGACCAUACAUAGUUUGUGCCCGCGCAAGAUCCAAAAUUUAAAAUCUAAUUACUUUACAUUUGUAAUUAAAUUUAUUUUUUUUAAAGAAAAUAAAAAAUUUAAAUAACUUAUAUGAACUAUAGACUAUUUUGAUUCAACUAUCUGACCUUUCAAAAUUUUGAUUUUUCGUAUCCAACCUUUCAAUUUCUAUAAUAUAAAUAAGUUGAUGGCUUUUGGAUACAAAAUUUACACUAAUUGCUAAUUUUAAUAAAUUUAUAGUUAUAUGAACUGCAUAAAAUAUAUUAUUUAACCCAUAAAGAUAAAAGAUGUGUUAAAAUUUUGAAGUUAGAGGAUCACUGAUUUGCUCAAAUUAAAUAAAUUAAAAAUUAGACAGUAAAAUUAAAAUUUUAAAAAUUGACUAUCGAAGUGGGUGAUAGUUGAGAUAAGAUUUGUAGUAUGCUUCCCUUCUCUCUCAAAAAAAAAAAGUUAAACAAAAUAAAAUAAUAAUUCUCUCUCUCUCUCUCUCUGUACUAUCUAUAUAUAGCAACAUAAGAGUAUACUGUAUACAUCUGAGUACUUGUUCUUUUUAUACGUUGUUGCCUUGUUGGUAAUGUUGACCUCAAUGGCCUCUUUUGUAUGUCUUUACGUAGUAUGAGAUCUAGUAGACCUAACUUGUGGGUCCUAAAUGAGUGCAUCCAAAUGUUUGACAUGAUUGCAGGUUUACCCUCUCAAAAUUAUGAAUUUCACAUAAAUGUCCUUCUAAAACGAAAAUAUCACAUAUACAAAAAAUUUAUUACAAUUUCCAUGUACAAAUUUCCUUUGGAAUCUUGCUUCUGGUGCAAACCAUGCACAAGCUCUAUAAGAUUUUUUUUUUUUUCUUUUACUUUUUACAAUUCAAAGUAAUCUACCCCCCGCACGAUGAAGGUAAUUUUGUGAGACAUAAAUACAAGCAAAACAUGACUUCAAACGACAGCAAAUAAUUUGCCGAUUCUUUCUUUUAUGCAUGAUCUAGAUCCUUUGCAUUAGACUUAUUCGUAUAAUUAAUAUUCAUAUGCCAAAGGGUCCGCUUGUAUUUUUUCCACGAUUGUUGGGUAGUGGUAUCAUUUUAUGAGAGGCCUUGUUUGUCUUGGCCUCAAGUAGUAUGAGCUCACUACGCAUGCUUCAGCGCGUAGAAACAAGAACAAUGUAUAUAUGAGCUAUGUAUGCGAACCAAUAUAUAUAUAUAGCUACCAAACUACUUUGAAGGUUCAUUUAGAUUCUCAUUAUAAUGUCAUUUAGGCUCUUAAUUAUUUAAUAUAUGCAUUUGCAGGGGUCUUAGAGAGAGAGAGAGGGAGAGAGAGAGAGAGAGAGUAAAACCAACAUUUUCUAUGUUCUAUACGGACAACCUCUAUCGUAGGUGGCAAAAAGUGUAAUGGUUGAUACUUGAGAUUUUAAGUUAGAAAUCUAGUUACUUCAUAUUUUUAGUUGAUUAGUUUAUAUUCAUUAAAAAAUAAACAAAACGGUCUUUCUCUCUAAAAAAAAAAAAGAUAAUAAAAAUCUUAUCUCUCAAAAUGUAGAAAACAUGCAAGUAGUUGUUGAUUCUCUUUGUAGCGUGUAAGUUACUAGAAUAGUCUCUCUCUCUCUACUUAGAAAAAUCUAACCCACUAUCUCCUCUUGCGAUAUUUUAAUGUAAAAUGUAAUUAAUUUUUCCCAAAUAGAAAGUCCCCACUAACAUGAUCAAACAGUGCUCUUUCUAAAUUAAUCCUAAGGCGACAUCACUGGAUUCGAUAUAAUCCAUAAUAAAUAGAUUAAAAAUUCUAUUUAAUUUUUAAGGACGAGUUUGAUUGCUCAAUAAAGAAUGGGAUGUUAGGUAUAGUUGUGACAUGAAAGGUUAAAAGGCUGAUCAUGGAUUUUAAUGUUUCUUCAAUCUUCAAUCUAAUUCAUCGGGUGCGUUAACAUCAUUUCUAAUUUUGUACAUAAGAUUGUAUCUAUGGGUUAGAUUAAUGUGUGGAUAAUCUCUAUACUUUUCUAUGAAGUAAUUACAGGUGGUCCCUAGCUAGUUUUCAUGCCUAAUUAGCUUAUGCAAUUUCCCUUUAAAUAUAUUAUUUCUGUCCAAAAUCCCUUCAUAGAUAUGAUAUUAAUCUAUGAUAUAUUUUGGAUAUUUGUUAAUUCAUAUAAUAUUAGCUAUUUAAGUCGAAGGCUAUAGACACCAAUAUAAGAAUUUUCCAUGCAUGCAUUGUACCCAUCUUUUGAUAUUACUUUUUUAAAUAUCAGUCUCUUGAUAUUUAAAGUUGCAAUUAAUUAAUCGUUCAAAUAAUUAAGCUCAUGUUAGCUCUUUUUUUUUAGUGCUAAUUAAUAUUGUGACAUUCACAAAAGCAAGUGGGGUUCGUGUUAUGAGACAGAGGGAGAUCUAGAGACGUGUCUAUUUCAAAACCUCUCAUUUGUACAAAUUUAGCAUUGGUUGGUUAGAAUCCAAAGAAACAUAAUUAGAUAUCUCUAAAAUGCAUGCUAGCUCUAAGUUUUUUUUUUUUUUCCUUUUUUUGAGAGAUAGGUAGCACGCUACCCGCUUCGUUUAUUUCAUUUAGAAAUAAACUUAGCUAGAAAUAUGAAUCAACUAGGAUUCGAAUUUGGGACCACGGGUACCAACCACCAAACCCUUUGCCACUUGCUCUAGGGUCGGUAUGCUAGCUCUAAGUUAAGCCUAUAUAUAUAUAUAAUACUAUAUAUAUAUAUAUAUAAUAUCUAUAUCCCUAUAUAGAAUUAGGUCUACUCUACUACUUAUCGCUCACGGGAGCUCCCGUACUAUAAGUGUUGUUUUCGAUCUUAGGGCUGUUCAAAUCAACGAUCCACACCGUUAAAUAUGAUCUAGGGUAUAUGAAUAUAUAGAAUAAAAUUUUAGUUCUUUCAGAUAUCGUUACUAGUAAAUAAAUUAUGUCAAAAUGGACGGUGGAAUUGAAUAUCUUUUUAAAAUUUGAGCAUAGGACUUUUAAAAUUUGAGCAUAUAUAUAUAUAUAUAUAUAUAGAGAGAGAGAGAGAGAGAGAGAAUUGAGCUCCUGUACUUUUAAAAGUACUAAGUUAUUGGUGCUUAUAGAUUUUUAGUCAUUGGAUUAAGAGAUAUGCGGUUAGAAUGAUAUGGGCCCCCUAGGGUUUAGUGGGUGGUUGGUUGAAUAAUAUAAUCUAAUGGUUGAAAAUGAUCCAAGAAGUAGAUCUAACGGUAAAAAACUUACAAGCACCAAGUGCUUGGUGCUUUUACAAGCACCGUAGCUGAACUAUAUAUAUAUAUAUAUUUGUUAUUUUUCUACAAGUAAAGGUUUUUAAAUCUCCACUUCGGCCCCUGGUCUCGAACGGACCCAACUUCUCGGGUGCAACCCAAUCGCCACUAAAGAAGCAAUCUGUUUGAGGACUCUACGGUAAGGAAUAUAUAGCUUUAAUUAAAUUCUCAGUUCAUGUAAAUAAUAUUACUGUGGUACAUUUUAAAAUCAAUACGAUCAUCCUAACCGAUCGUUUAUUCAAUAUGUAAUUAGUGACAUAUCUAAUGCAAAGAUUUUUGAUUGAUUCUGUUAUGAUAAAAAUCAAAAAGAUAUAGUUCGUCGGGUGCGAAAAUAUCAAAAGAGAUUCGAAAAAGAGAGAAGAAAAAUAAAGUACAUAAUAUUUAUAUGGUUCGGUCACCGACCUACGUCUACGUGCAAAAACAGAGCGAAAAUUUUCAUUAUAAUGAGAGUGGUGUACAAAAUAUGCCUCUCUCAUAAAAUCCUAAUUCUAAAAAUACACUCAUACUCUCCCUCAUAUGCUGCCCCAAAUUAAUAGAAUAAAUGGUAUAUUUAUAAUAGUGGUUAAAUUUUAAGAUGAUUAGAUAUGCAAAUCCACUAAUAAGACUGAAAAUAUUUUAAUUAGAUUAGAUAUAAUCUAAAUUUAACUUAAUGAGAUAAUCAAAACAUAAUAGAAUUACAAAACCUUGCUUGUUAAUGACAAAUCCGCAACCCGUAAGUAGAAAGGGUCUCAAAGAAUUUCCUACCAACCUACCAAUAAGAAGAUCAAUUGCACUAGAACUCUUGAAUAGGGCUAGGUUGCAAGGAAUAUUCUGAGCAUACUUGGACCAUUCUAAUAGCUGGAUCUGAAAUAUGACUAACUCAGAUCCAAAUAGAAACUGAACCCUGCAAACAUUGCAAUCAAAACCAAACAUCCUUGGGAAUUUCCUUUUCUAGAAAACGCUUGCUCGAUCCUCUUAUUCUCGCAACCAUUGAUCACACAAACGGUCCAUUGUACGUCCACACGUGUGAUGACGAUAAGUGGCCCUCUCGGUUUAUGCUACCUACAUGCAACUAGCUUGAAAGGUGCCCUAAUAAAUGUAUUACUAUUGAUAAUUCAACUUUGCAUGUACACGUACAAUUAGUAGUUGGGUUAUAAAUGUUAAAUAAUCACUAGCUCAUGUGCAUGAAACUGAUGCUUUGGAUUUCAAAUUAAGUAGAAGUACGUCUACGAAACUAGCCACGAACUUUGGAUCAUCUGUUCAACUUUUUUUAUGUAUAUAUAUAUAUAUUCACUAAUCUUCAAAUUCCUAUGAGUUGAAUUCUAAUUGCCGACGCCUAAUGCAUCAAUGUAUCUGCGAAUUGCUAUCUUCAUCCAGCCCGCCGCAUCUCAUGUCGGUAACUUAGACAUCUAGGGCAGUGUUUGGAUUGGGGAUAAGGGGAGGGAUAACCUCUUAUCCCUCCCUUUAAACCCAAACGCAAAUUUUUUAUCCGAGAAUAGUAGUUUUCGGAUUUCUGGAAUAAGCUGAUAUAGCUGUUCCCACCAACAUUUCCAUUUUUUAUAUAUAACUAUCCACUAUUUUUCUUAUUUCAUAUUAUCUAUCCAAACGCUAUUUUUCUUAUCCCCGAAAACAACCCAAUUUUCAUUCAAACGCUAUUUUGCUUAUCCCUAUAUUUGUACAUAUCCCUGUAAUAUCUAGUUCUGGCUUAUAUCCGAACCAAACGGUACCUAAGUCAUAAGUAUAUAUGAAAGAAAACAACUUAUUGAUUGUAGAAAUUAAACAAGUAAACAGAUAAGAUGGAGGAUAGAUAAGAGGAAAAUGCGCACAUCGAUGCACAACUAUCUCAAAGUGUAGGCAAUACUUUAUUGAGUUAUUUGAAUGAAAAAACUAUAUGAUUAAAUAGCAAGGUAUAAAACUUUAAAAGGUUGAUCCAAGAAUUAAUAGUAUUUCUUUUAUACCUUUCAAUAUUAUUUUAAAACAUUAUCCCUAAAGUGCCCAAAAAAAUUAUUGCACUGUUCGGUAUAAAAAGUCGUUCCAUCAUUCUAUCUACAAUACUUGGAUAGCUGAUGAUAACAGUUCGCAAAUUAUUAAAACUGUUUUGUUUUGAUCUAAAAUAACCAAAUUUAUUAAAUUUAAUCAUAUUUGAGAAUCCGUCCAAUCAAAAUACAUGAUAUUUUACAAAACUACCGUAACAUUAUUUUUUUUAAAAUAAACAAUAUAUUAUCUAUUUUAUUUAUUUAUUUAAAAAUAAAUUUAAUUAAAAAUAUAAAUUAACUAAUAUUCAAAUUUGAGAUCUUAAAUAUUAAUCAUCAAAUUCUUUGCAGGGACGGUCCGUUACCGUCACGUUGUUUUAGGGCCGCAAAUCUUGAAAAAGUUACUCGAGUAGUGGAAAAGGGGGUGGGGCCCGCGGGGUCGUCGUCGAUCAUGUCGGGGUGAUUUCCUGUCUUUAAAGUACACGUGGCGAGCGUAGGAGAUGCCGACAGUCGCUUUCGCAAUCCCCCCCGGGCCCGCCCCCACCACCCCCACAUUGCUUUUUGAUGUUCGCGCCCCGAUAGCGACCCGACCCGAUUCGCGGUGCUCCCCAUCCCCAAUGGGUAAGUUUUUUAUUAUAAUUAUUUUUAACUCCUCUCUCUCUCUCUCUCUCUCUCUUUCUCAUGCUCCUCGUAAGCAACCAAACAACUUCCCAAAUAAUUUUCCGAUAAAAACGUGGUGAACUUGUUUCCACUCCAAAAUGAUCAUUAUUUAAUUUGAGUUAGUCGAUAAUAUUUUAGUUUUAAAUUUUUAAAUAUAUUAUUUAUAUUUAUAAAUUUAAUUAAUAUAUUUUAUUUAAUUUUCGUAACUAUAAAUAUUCAAGAAAGUAAGUAAUCAGUUUAACUUUUAAAAUAAAAAUAUUAUUGACUGAUUUAAAUCUAAUAAAUUUAAAUUUUUAAAAAAUUAGAUAUCUUAUUUAAAAUAAACUAUAAUUUAGAUAAUUGUGCACGUUUUUACGUAACUUUCGAAGAGAAGCAAUUCGGGAAACAGCUGUGAGGACGAAGGCGACUCCACUCAAAAAGCGCUUCCACGAGAACUUACUAGAAGCACUUUUAGCGAAAUGUCUGAUGCGCCUUGCGCUUGUAGAAUCUAAAAAGUGAAUAUUACAAACUUUAAUUACUCCGCUCCCGAAUUAUCAGGUCUUAUGAAAUGACCUAUCAUUUUUUUUUUUCCAUUUUUCUAGGAUGCUCUUUUUUUCUUUUGAAAGUAGCGUCAUUUCAUCUAUUAUUCGAGUAUCUCCCAUUCCCUUUCCCCAAUAGAAUACUGAAUAGAAACUUAAAGGAUGGGUAAUGAUAGGAGCAAAUUUGAUAAUUUUAAGUUAAAAUGUGUAUAGUGGCUAAAUUUAACUAUAUAUAUAUAGAGAGAGAGAGAGAGAGUUCGGCUACUAUUCUUUUAUGAAUAUGAUCGCUUACUCAUAAGUCAUUUCGAUGACGACCCAUGCAUACCGUUAAAUAUAUAUUAUUGAAAGCGUUUGAAAUUUUUAGAAAUUAAAUUUUAUAAUUUUCUGACAUCAUUUAUCUUACGAUCAAAAUAUCUCAAAAUUGACAAAAGGUCGAUAUAGGAUAUUUGCUAGUUUAAAUGUUUAAAAGAAUUAUAAUCGGUUGAAUUUUUGAUAGAAAAUUCUAUUCACUAUCUAAAUAAAGAUCAAUUACUCCGAUCUUAAAUUGAAGUAUCCGAUUCACUAUUUUUAGAAAGUCGUUCGAUUUUGACCUUUCAUUUUAUGUCCGUUUGAUGUACUUUAUUAUACUGUCAAAAAAUUACGAAAUUUAUUUUUUAAAAGUUUCAAAUACUCUAGACUAUAUUUAACGGUAUGGAUCAUCAAUUCGGAAGCUCCAUCAUCGAAAACAAUUUAUAUAUGAAUACAAAGAGCUCUAUAUUUAUAAAAGUAUAGUAGCCCUACUUUCUCUCUAUAUAUAUUAUAGUGUUAUUAGUAAUUGUCGACUGUCAUGAGCUGUAAUUUUUUUUUUUUUCCCACUAUCUUAGAGGCCCUGGUUUCUUCACUCAUGUAGCAUAAUUUAUCUUUUUAAUGAAUGAAGCGGGUAGCACGCUACCAUUUUCUCAAAAAAAAAGAAGAAGUAAUUG